UAAAACUAAGGGACUGCAAUCUUUGUGAAGGAGAUAUUCCACCUGAUAUUUCUGGUCUAUCCUCUUUGCUAUCUCUUGAUCUUAGUGGUAAUAAUUUCAUCAGCAUACCUGCAUCUCUUACUCAACUCUCGAAGCUUGAAAAUCUUUAUUUGUCAAAUUGCAACAUGUGCACUUUUGGUGAAGCAGAUACUCAUCGUGAUAUUUCUGGUCUAUCCUCUUUGAGUCAUCUUAAUCUUAAUGGUAACAAUUUCAUCAGUAAACCUGCAUCUCUUACUCGACUCUCAAAGCUUAAGUCUCUUGAAUUGUCAAAUUGCAACAUGUGCACUCUUGGUGAAGCAGAUACUAAUAGUGACAUUUCUGGUCUAUCCUCUUUGAGUUAUCUUUAUCUUUGUUAUAUCAAUUUCAUCAGCAUUCCUUCGGCUCUGACUCAACUUUCCAGGCUCAAAUUGCUUAAAUUGUCAGGUUGCAAGAUGCUUAAAUCGUUGCCUGAGCUACCAACAAGUAUAGGAAGUGUGACAAUAGAUAAUUGUUCUUCACUUGAAGUAGUUGGAAGUCCAUCAAAAGUAUGCAAUUUAGUGGGUCGUGAAAGCAUUCGUGCCAUUAACUACUUCAAAUUGGCUGAGAAAAUCAAUGCAGUAGCACUGCUGAAAGAACAUAUUAAGGUCUAUUAAUCUAUUUUUUUUUCUCCCUUACAAAAUCUCAUACUUGAGAAAUUGUGGUUUUAGUUACCAGACGACUUGUGUUUUAUUUUGCAGGCACUUCCAAAUUCUAGAAAAUUGUAUAAUGAUGGCGUCUUUGAUAUUAUGAUGCCCGGAAUUGAAAUUCCAGAAUGGUUUAGCCAACAAAAAAAUGACUCUUCAAUUAAGAUACCCCUACCUAUCAACCUUCGGAAAGAUGGUCAAUGGAUUGGAGUUGCUUGUUGCUGCAUUUUUGUCAAUAAUGAUGCUUCAUGGAAUAAGGAGUUUAUCAGCUGUAAAGGAUCUAUUUUUCGAGGUAGAAAUUGUCGACUAAUUUUUUUGAGAAAUCGGUGGGUAGGUCAAUCCUAUCACAAUCCCAUAAUGAAAGAUCACCUUUUUCUUCGUUAUUUUCCUCGUGAUGAAUUAUAUCCAAUUUCCUUGGAGGAUAAAUAUGGUGACUGUGAAACCAAUAAUUUAUGCACAACAGAUUGCUUAGAUCAAAUAUGCGAUGAGCUUGAGUUGUGUUUCAAUACCAAAUUUGGACCAAAUUCUGGUUGUGUUAAGGUGAAGAAGUGUGGCGUUAGAAUAGUGUAUGAGAAAGAUUUGGAAGAAAUGAAAGAGUUGCAGUGUCAUACCACUCAAUCUUCUCCAAAAUUUGAACACAUCCACCAACACUCUGCUCACAACCAUGGAUCAGUAGGUAGCACUUCUCACAUAAAACGGAAAUGUAAUAUCUAUGAGGAAACAGAGGAAGAAGAGCCGCAACCAAAGCGGAUGCAAAAUUUUUUCAAUUUUGUAAAGGGCCAAUCAAGAAAGAAGCAUUAACUGUGGUAAACUACUUAACCAACUUCGUCCUAUUAAUUGUAUUUUUACACAUCUUGUAUUCCAUUUAAACAAUUAUUCUAGACUUGUUUUGCAUAUGAGAUAUGAUCCUUCCAUUAUAUGCCAAAACAUUUUAAAAAAUUUUAUUCAUAUUCAUAUUCAACAUAUACAUAUUUUAAAUGUUGAUAACAUUAUUUUUUAUACCAUUUAAAAUUUUAGUCACUUAAGUCCGGUUGUUUGGGGUAAAACAUUUUUGAAGACAUAAUCAUGGAUAAUAAAAGGUAAGAAGACACAUAUACACUUAUAUCUAUGUGUGCUGUAAAUAAUUAUUGUUUUUAAAUAUGAUAAAAAAAACUAUAGCAAAACUUUUGACAUUCAAUAAUUCAAUGUUUAAUUAUGAAAUUUAUCUAGCAACAUAUUUACUUUUUCAAAAGAAUCAAAAGAGAAAUGUAUGUAUUUUUGAAAUAUUAAUGGUAUAUUUUUUUGUGAAAAUUAAUGGUAUAUAUUUAAUGUACUAAAAGUGUAUAUCAACGAAUUAGAUUAUAACAUGUCAUCGAAAUUUUUUUAAUGAAAAUAGUUUCAUUUUUAAUUAUGUGUCAUUGUUGGUUCAUUAACUUGUAAAUUAUGCUUUGUUUGCGGACCGAAUAUAAAUCAACAUAUUAAUUCAAUUUUUUAGGAUUAGGUAAUUUAACAUCGGAUGGGAUUAUUAGAUAUAAGUAUCUCUUUAAUAUGGCUAUGUUAAAAAAAUAUAUUUAAAAAUUGUUUUUAUUCACAUAUUUAAAAGGUUCUUAAAGGAUCAUAUCUUAAUACCCAUAUACGAAUAUGCAUUAGAUAUAAGUAUUGGAUACGAGUACUUAAAAAACAAUAUUGAUGUAACAUUUCUUUUAGAUAUUGAAUGUUUUUGUAUAUUUUGAAGCUCAUUUUUGUUUUGCUCAUGGAUAUUAGGGAAUCGAACAAGAUACUCAAUUUGAGUGUGGAUACCUUCUUGAAGAUGAAAAAAUUGAGAUUGCUUAAAGUGCUUUGCCUUUCAAAUUGUGAUGAUGAUCUCAAAUAUCUUUCUAAUGACCUACGACUUUUAGAUUGGACAGGAUACCCUUUAAGAAACUUGCCUUCAAGCUUUCAACCGGAUAACCUUGUCGCACUUCUUUUACCAUAUAGUCACAUUCAACAACUAUGGAAGGGAAAUAGAGUAAGAAUUAACUCAUCUUAUCCUUGUGUUUUAGCUUAUUUUAAUAUAAAUUAUUAAACUUUGAUUAAGGUAAAACAAAAAAACAAAAAUGAGCAUUAUUAUGUUUUCUCAUUUGUUUCUAAUUUAUUAUGGUCUUCAACAGCCCUUGUUUAACUUGAAAAUAAUGAACCUCAGAGGGUCUCAAAACCUGAUCAAGACACCAGACUUCACAACAGCAUCAAAUCUUGAAGUUUUGAUUUUGGAAGGUUGUACCAAAUUAGUGGAUGUUCAUCCAUCAAUCGGGGUGCUUAAGAGCCUUAAACUUUUGAAUUUAAGAGAUUGCAAAAGUCUUAGGACUCUUCCAACAAAAAUUGGAAUGGAAUCUCUUGAAACAUUCAUUCUUUCGGGUUGCUCAAGUCUUGUAAGGUUUCCGGAGAUUGAUGGGAAAAUGGAACGUCUAAAAACUCUAGAUCUUUUCGGUUGUUAUAGAGUGGAAAACUUAUCGGAGAAUUUGCAGCAAGCAAAGUUUUUGGAAGAGCUCGACUUAAGUGAAACAGCCAUAACAGAACCACCAUCCUUCAUUUUUCAAUUUAAAAAUCUUAAAGUUCUGUCUUUCAAUGGGCGCAAGGGACCAUCAUAUAAGUUGCUACCAAAUUUGCCUUCUCUUUUCAAGGUAAUCCAAGGAAGAAGGACGAAUCCCAUGGCUCGGAUGUUGCCUUUGUUGUCAAGUUUGAGUUCUUUAAGAGAGCUAAAACUAAGGGACUGCAAUCUCCGUGAAGGAGAUAUUCCACGUGAUAUUUCUGGUCUAUCCUGUUUGGAAAAACUUGAUCUUAGUGGUAACAAUUUCAUCAGCAUACCUGCAUCUCUUACUCGACUCUCGAAGCUUGAAAAUCUGACAUUGUCAAAUUGCAACAUGUGCACUUUUGGUGAAGCAGAUACUCAUAGUGACAUUUCUGGUCUAUCCUCUUUGAGUUAUCUUGAUCUUAGUGGUAACAAUUUCAUCAGCAUACCUGCAUCUCUUACUCGACUCUCAAAGCUUUAUGUUCUUGUCUUUUCAAAUUGCAACGUGUGCACUCUUGGUGAAGCAGAUAUUCAUAGUGAUCUUUCUGGUCUAUCCUCUUUGAGAUAUCUUUAUCUUAGUGGUAAGAAUUUGUUCAUUGUUCCAACAAAUUUCAUCACCAUUCCUUUGGCUCUUUCUCAACUUUCCAGGCUCAAAUUGCUUAAAUUGUCAGGUUGCAAGAUGCUUAAAUCGUUGCCUGAGCUAUCAUCAAGUAUAGCAGUUGUGAGUAUAGAUGGUUGUUCUUCACUUGAAGUAGUUGCAAGUCCAUCAAAAGUAUGCAAUUUAGUGGGUUGUGGUGACAUUAGUGCCAUUAACUGCUUCAAAUUGGCUGAGAAAAUCAAUGCAUUAACACUGCUGAAAGAACAUAUUAAGGUCGAUUAAUCUAUUUUUUCUCCCUUACAAAAUCUCAUACUUGAGAAUUUAUGGUUUUAUUUACCAAACGACUUGUGUUUUAUUUUGCAGGCACUUCCAAAAUCAAGAAAAUUUUUUGAUGAUGGCUUCUUUGAUAUUAUGAUGCCCGGAAGUGAAAUUCCAGAAUGGUUUAGCCAACAAAAAAGUGACUCUUCAAUUAAGAUACCACUUCGGAAAGAUAGUGAAUGGAUUGGAGUUGCUUGUUGCUGCAUUUUUGUCAGUAAUGAUGCUUCAGGGAAUAAGGCGUCUAUCGGCAUUGAUGGAUCUAUUUUUCGAGGUAGAAAUUGUCGACCAAUUGAUUGGAGAAACCAGUGGGUAGGUCGAUACUUUCACAAGCCCAUAAUGAAAGAUCACCUUUUUCUUCGUUAUUUUCCGCGUGAUGAAUUAUAUCCAAUUUCCUUGGAGGAUAAGUAUGGUGACUGUGAAACCAAUAAUUUAUGGACAACAGAUUGCUUAGAUCAAAUAGGCGAUGAGCUUAAGUUGUGUUUCAAUACCAAAUUUGGACCAAAUUACCGUUGUGUUAAGGUGAAGAAGUGUGGUGUUAGAAUAGUGUAUGAGAAAGAUUUGGAAGAAAUGAAAGAGUUGCAGUGCCAUACCACUCAAUCUUCUCCAAAUUUUGAACACAUCCACCAACACUCUGCUCACAACCAUGGAUCAAUAGGUAGCACUUCUCACAUGAAACGAAAACGUAAUAUCUAUGAGGAAACGGAGGAAGAAGAACCGCAACCAAAACGGAUGCAAAAUUUUUUCAAUUUUCUAAUGGGCCAAUCAAGAAAGAAGCAUUAACUGUGGUAAACUACUUAACCAACUUUGCUCAAUUAAUUUUCUUUUUUACACAUCUUGUAUUUCAUUUAAAUAGUUAUUCUAGAAUUGUUUUGCAUGAGAUUAGGGGUGAGUAUUCGAUCGAAUCGAAUCGAAUCGAAUCGAAAAUUUUUGAGUUAAUCGAGUUUUCGAAUCUCAUUUUAUCAUCCUAACUUUAUUUGAAGUUUUCUCGAAUCGAGUCGAGUGAGAUAGAAUUUGAAUCGAAUCGAAUAUAUUUGUUCGAGUUAAAUUUUAAAAAAUAAUUUUUGGUCCUUGUAACUAUUGUCACCUAUCGUAAUAAAAUUUGUCCACCUUAAUCAAAAUUUUUAUUAACUUUCAUAACCUCAUAAUUUAUUUAUUAAUUUUUUAUAUAUUGGUUAGCUUCUUUGCUUGCUUAGUUGUUUCAAUUAUCUUCAGAUUUUUGUCACUGUGUAUUUUGGAAUUAAAAAAUAUAUUAAAUGUAAAAAUAUGAUUUUUUAAUAAAAGUUAUUUUAAAAAUAAAAUGUGAAAUUGAUACCAAUAUAAAAUUUUAACACGAAUAUUUUAUGGCAUAAUUAAUAAUUCAAUUUUAAUAUAAAUAUUCAAUAUGACUAAACAAUUCAAUAAUAUAAAUAAUAUAAAAUAUGAUAUUUAAUUUAAUAAUAUAAAUAGUAGAUAUAAAUAAAAUUAUUACUAUUUAUGUUUAGUGAUUUUUUUUGGAUAAUUUUGAUUUUUUAUUUGAGAGUAAAGGGUGAGAAGUAAAAGUUUAGGGGGAAAAUAAAAAGUUUUGAGGAAUAAAAGUUUGAGCGAAUGUAAAUAGGAGGAGUAAAAUUUUGGAGGGAAAAUAUUAAAAAAAAUUUUGGAGGGGGGAGGGUUUGGGGUAGAUGGGAGGUGGGAUGGGAAGGAAAUAAAAGUUUUAGGGGAAAAGUGGGAGGGAGUAAAAAUUUUAGGAGAAAAUAAAAGGUUUUGAGGAUUUUUUGGAGUAAAAUUUUGAGAAAAAGUAAAUGGGAGAGUAAAAUUUUUGUUGGGAAAUGGAUUUUGGGUAGAUUGGAUGGUUGGGAGGGGAGAGGAGUAAAAGUUUUGGGGGGAAGUGGGAAGGAGUAAAAGUUUUGAGGGAAAAGUAAAAAGGUUUAGGAGUUUGGGGUAAAAAUGUAAAAUAUUAUAGUUUGAUAUUUGAAUUGUUCGAGUUAUUCGAAUUCGAAAACUCAACUUGAUUCGAAUUCGAAAUUCGAAAAAAAUUCGAGUUGAUUCGAAUAACUCGAUUCGUUUAACUCGAAAUUCGAAUUUUUUUCGAUUUUUUCGAGUCGAAUCGAGUUUUGCUCACCCCUACAUGAGAUAUGAUCCUUCCAGCCAAAACAUUUUAAAAAAUUUUAUUCUUAUUCAUAUUCAACAUGUACAUAUCUCAAAUGUUGAUAACAUCGUUUUUAUACCAUUUAAAAUUUUAGUCACUUAAUUCAUUCCUUUUUACAUAAUCUAAAUGUGUAUAUUUUGAUUGGUUUCACAUUUUUUUAUUAAAAAUUUAUUUCCACUAUAUUUAUAUAAAUUCACUUACAUCUAUAUUUUAUUUGUAGGUUGAAGAUGAAGCAAAUUAAAACAAAAUUGUGAGACAAAAAUGGAGACGAAGCAAGUAAUGAUAAAGUGAGAAUCCUUUAAUAAGGAUCGAUCAUAAUUUCAACUGAGUUAACAAUCAUUUUAUUUUUAUUGGAGACCAACUUAUGUGUUCAAUUUAAUCCGUCAAAACUGUUUUUAUAUAUUUAAAAGAUUAAAUAUAAAUCCUUAAAGGUACUUAAAUAGAUUCAAUCCCUUCUAAUAAAGUAUCAUUUAAAUUUCAUGACUUGAAGUACAAAUAAUAUUAUUCUAAUUCCUCAGUUUAAAAUUUUUUUAUAAAAUAUUUACCUUUAGACAUUUAUUUUUAAUAUUUAUUCAAAUAUGAAUAUAAAGUAUGCACUAAUAUUCAUUUAGAAAAUCUUUGUUCGUGAGACACUUAUUCAUAUUUUUUUCUUUUAAAAAUUCAAUACAUUCAUUUAUCUCUCCUCGCUGGACCUCCGGCUGGUUUCGCCAUUAUAAUCUGCAAACCUUGAAUCAACGGCAUUACUGAGCUUAGUGGAAGCAAAUGUUGGGAAAAUGGAAUACAGAUGCGAUCCUAAGCAACAAAUACAGCUUUGCAUGAGAACCUAAUCCCAUCACCAAACUAUUUUAAGUGCUUGGAACUUGAAAAUGAGAGCUCUUCCUUAUCCUGCUCUAUCUUCUGCGACUAAUGUAAAAGAGUUACAACAAUGCAUACACAAACAAAACGAAUAUGGCGGCCUUCAGCUUCAUCAAUACACGGAGGGCUAUACUUAAGAUGUUGCUCAUAGAAGCUGAUUAAGCUGAUUAACUGCAAUGGAAGAAAAAAAACACAAAAGAAGUGCAAGAAUUGUCAGCUCUUUGAGUCAAUUUAAUAAAGGAAAAGAUCAGGCAAGAAAAUGAUCCAUUACCAGCAGUGGAUUGUUAGCUUGAAGACACUGGUUGUCCACCAUAACCUCUUUUCCAUCUGACCUGUCAAAAUGUGACAAACAAAAUUUAUCAUCGACAACAUGAACUUCAAGAAAGUGCAGCGUAAGUUUGAGGACUCUCAGAGACUUCAACAACAGAAUCACAUCUAAUUAAUUGUGUUUGUUCUUCUCCACUUUUAUUAUUUUAUUGUUUAUAUGGACAAUCCUAACAUAUAUUAUGAGUGAAACUUAAAUUUCUCAUACGUUUAAUAUUUUUAAUAUUAAAAUAUAUAUCCUUCUUAAAAUACGUGAAUUUAGGUCAAAUUAAAUGAAAAGAGGAACUGAAUUUCUAAUUAGGUGUUAAUGGAAUCUUUGAUUUUAAUACAAGUGUUUUGUUAGUUCAUAUAUGGCUUAGUUAGUUUAUGGGUACGCAUGGAUUAAAUGAAAAAAAAUUAAAUUAAUUAAGUUGAUAAGUAUUAAUUUAUCAAUAAAAAUUAAUUUAAAAUUUUUAAUAAAUUAAAUUAAGUGAAAUAAAAUUUCGUAUCAAAUUUAUUUGAGUUAAUUUAGAAAUUUAAUCAAAUUAAGUUAAAACAUUUUUUAAUUUAUUAUUUAAAAUUUUAGAUAUCCAAACUAUAAAAAUCAAACUCUACUCAAAUCCGAAAAAGUCGGAAAACUUUAAUAAUUUCCAUAACUCAAACUAAUUUAGCCACCCAUUAAAACCACACCAUCGUACCAAAUCAUAAUAAAAAGAAUUUUUUAAAAAAUUACAAAACCAACCCUUAAAAUUUUAGAUGAUCAAAAGUCAAAACUUAUCUAAAAUGGGUCGUCAUCCCUAAACUCGAUGAUUUUAAUGGUCAACCAGGUAGGUACCAAAAUUGGUGCCUUUAUAAUGCUUUUUCUUCUUCUUUCUCUACAGGAGUUCUUUUUUUUUAUAUAUUUUUUUACACAUUAAAAAUUAAUUAUAUAUAUUGGCAUAUUGUAUAUGUAUGUCAUGUUUACAUUACUUACAUAUUAUAAUAUAUUUUAUAUAGCUUAUCAUAGUUAUUCAAUAUAUUCGUUUUAUUAUUUAUGUGUGAGGCUCGUGACUAUCCUUCUAAUAAUAUUUGAAUCCGCAUUCAUUCUUUAAAAAUAUAAUGUGACUUACUAUUACACUCAACAUUUAUAUUUAUCUUGAAUUUUACAUAAUUUCUCAUAUUCAUUUAAUGUGUAUAUUUACAUUUUUUUUUCGAAGUACUAUAAAUUUAAAUAAAAUUUGACAUGGUAAUGAUUCAUUUUACGUGAGAGUUUAACAUAUUUGUUAUUUGUCAUGUAUAUAUAAUCUUGAUGGCAGCAGAACUGUGUUUUAAUUAUUUUACAUUAUUUUAUUAUGUAGGUUUUAAAAUAUUAGGAUAAAUCUCAAAAUUAUAUAUUAACUUUGAUUCAAUAUGUAAUUUAAUAAAUGAGCUUUGGUUUAGUGUAAUUAUACACGUGGAGCUUUGAUUUUGAUUUAAAUGUAUACAUUUUGAUUUUGAUUUUCAUCAUCCAUGCUGCUCUAAAGAGGGGUGGGAUCGUCACUUUCAGGGAUGAUCCAAAGCUGGAGGCCGGCGAAGAGAUCGCUCCAGAACUCUUUAAAGCAAUUCAGCAAUCAUGGUGCUCGGUAAUCGUUUUUUCACAAACUAAUGCCUUUCAAGUUGGUGCUUGGAGGAGCUCGCUGAGAUUGUUAAACAACAUAACAACGACGGCCAUAAAGUGUUUCCAAUUUUUUACGAUGUUGAUCCAUCUGAUUUAAGAAAACAAAAAGGGAAAGUGGAAGAAGCCUUUGCCAGACAUGAAGAGAGAUACAAAGAAGAAAGUGAGAAGAUCCAAAGGUGGCGAAAUGCUUUAAUUCAAGUGGCUGCAGGCAAGGGAUGGNNNNNNNNNNNNNNNNNNNNNNNNNNNNNNNNNNNNNNNNNNNNNNNNNNNNNNNNNNNNNNNNNNNNNNNNNNNNNNNNNNNNNNNNNNNNNNNNNNNNNNNNNNNNNNNNNNNNNNNNNNNNNNNNNNNNNNNNNNNNNNNNNNNNNNNNNNNNNNNNNNNNNNNNNNNNNNNNNNNNNNNNNNNNNNNNNNNNNNNNNNNNNNNNNNNNNNNNNNNNNNNNNNCAUUGAAAAAGAAAGUGCAUUCGAAACAUAUCACCCAAAACAUUAAAAUUUCUUUUUUUUAGGCAUGAAUCUGAAUUUAUUGGAGACAUUGUUAAGAAGAUAUCAGCAAAACUAUGUCAGGCAUAUCCAGCUACUCAUGGCGACUUGGUUGGUAUUAGUGAAAGCUUGGAGGAUUUGUAUUUGAAAAUAAACAUUGGGGAAGAUGAUGUCCGCUUUAUAGGAAUUUGCAGAAUGGGUGGCAUCGGUAAAACGACACUCGCAAGAGUUGCUUACAAUCAAAUGUCACCUCAUUUUGAAGGUAAAAGCUUUAUUGCUGAUAUUCGAGAAGUUUCAGACAAAUGCGGACUAGUUUCUUUACAGAAACAACUUCUUUCACAGAUCUUUCAUGGUGAAUGCUUCAACUUUUUCGAUGUUCAUGAAGGAAGUGACAUAAUUAGCCAUAGGUUGUCUCACAAAAAGGUUCUUGUUGUUCUUGAUAAUGUUGAUAACAUACAACACUUAAAAUGCUUGGUUGGAAGGCACGAUUGGUUCGGAUUAGGAAGUAGAAUCGUUGUAACAACAAGAGAAGAACAUUUGCUUCGAUAUUGGCCAGUUGAUGAUAUGUAUGAGCCCACAACAUUAAAUCCCAAAGAUGCGCUUCAACUUUUCAGUCUAAAAGCUUUUCAUAGUGAUACAGUGCAGAAAGAUGAUUUCAUUGAGCUUUCUAAACAUGUUGUAAAUUAUGCUGGUGGACUCCCCUUAGCUCUUGAAGUUUUGGGUUCCUUUUUGUGCGGUAGAGAUGCGACUCAAUGGAGAAGUGCGAUUGAAAGACUUAAAAGAGAUUCUAAUAAAGAAAUUCUCGAUAAACUUCGAAUCAGUUUUGACGGACUGGAAGAAAGGGAGAAAAAUAUAUUUUUAGAUAUAGCAUGCUUCUUCAAUGGGGAGGAGAAAGAUUUUGUGAUCAAAGUAUUAGAUGGUUGUGAGUUUUUUCGUGAUAUCGGAAUUGAUGUUCUCGUUAAAAAAUCUCUCUUAAAAGUCGAUGAACACAACAAAUAUUUGAAGAUGCAUGACUUGUUGCAAGAAAUGGGAAGAACAAUUGUUAAAGAAAAAUGUGUUGAUGAACCUGGAAAACGUUGCAGAUUGUGGGAGGAAAGGGACGUCCAUCAUGUCCUAACAAAAAACAUUGUAAGUCAUUCAACAAAAGUUACAUACUAUUUCCUUUUUAUCCUACAUUAUUUACCAUUUAUUUUAUUUUCUUAUUGUCUGUUCUUGAUUUUUUUAGGCUACAAAAAUGAUUGAAGACAUAAUCAUCGAUAAUAAAAGGUGAGAAGACACACAUAAACUUAUAUCCAUGUGUACCGUAAAUAAUUAUUGUUUUUAAAUAUGAUAAAAAAACUAUAGCAAAACUUUUGACAUUCAAUAUUUCAAUGUUUAAUUAUGAAAUUUAUCUAGCAACAUAUUUACUUUUUCAAAAGAAUCAAAAGAGAAAUGUAUGUAUUUUUUUGUGAAAAUUAAUGGUAUAUAUUUAAUGUACUAAAAGAGUAUAUCAUCGAAUUAGAUUGUAACAUGUCAUCAAAAUUUUUUUAAUGAAAAUGGUUUCAUUUUUAAUUAUGUGUCAUUGUUUGGUUCAUUAACUUGUAAAUUAUGCAUUGUUUGCGGACCAAAUAUAAAUCAACAUAGUAAUUCAAUUUUUUAUGAUUAGGUAAUUUAACAUCAGAUGUGAUUGUUAGAUAUAAGUAUCUCUUUAAUAUGAGUAUAUUCAAAAAAAAUUUAAAAAUUAUUUUUUUCACGUAUUUGAAAGGUUCUUAAAGGAUCAUAUCUUAAUACUCAUAUACAAAUGUGCAUUAGAUAUAAGUAUUGGAUACGAGUAUUUAAAAAACAAUAUUGAUGCAACAUUUCUUUUUAGAUAUUGAAUGUUUUUCUAUAUUUUGAAGCUCAUUUUUGUUUUGCUCAUGGAUAUUAGGGAAUCGAACAAGAUGCUUAAUUUGAGUGUGGAUACCUUCUUGAAGAUGAAAAAACUGAGAUUGCUCAAAGUGCUUUGCUUUUCAAAUUGUGAUGAUUUCGAAUAUCUUUCUAAUGAACUACGACUUUUAGAUUGGAUAGGAUACCCUUUAAGAUACUUGCCUUCAAGCUUUCAACCGGACAACCUUGUCGCACUUCUUUUACCAUAUAAUCACAUUCAACAACUAUGGAAGGGAAAUAGAGUAAGAAUUAACUCAUCUUAUCCUUGUGUUUUAGCUCUUUUUAAUAUAAAUUAUUAAAAUUAAGGUAAAAAAAAUGAGCAUUAUUAUGUUUUCUCAGUUGUUUCUAAUUUAUUAUGGUCUUCAACAGCCCUUGUUUAACUUGAAAAUAAUGAACCUCAGAGGGUCUCAAAACCUGAUCAAGACACCAGACUUCACAACAGCAUCAAAUCUUGAAGUUUUGAUUUUGGAAGGUUGUAUCAAAUUAGUGGAUGUUCAUCCAUCAAUCGGGGUGCUUAAGAGCCUUAAACUUUUGAAUUUAAGAGAUUGCAAAAGUCUUAGGACUCUUCCAACCAAAAUUGGAAUGGAAUCUCUUGAAACAUUAAUUCUUUCGGGUUGCUCAAGUCUUGUAAGGUUUCCGGAGAUUGAUGGGAAAAUGGAACGUCUAAAAACUCUAGAUCUUUCCGGUUGUUAUAGGGUGGAAAAUUUAUCGGAGAAUUUGCAGCAAGCAAAGUUUUUGGAAGAGCUCGACUUGAGUGAAACAGCCAUAACAGAACCACCAUCCUUCAUUUUUCAAUUUAAAAAUCUUAAAGUUCUGUCUUUCAGUGGGCGCAGGGGACCAUCAUAUAAGAUACUACCAUGUUUGCCUUCUCUGUUCAAGGUAAUCCAAGGAAGAAGGACGAAUCCCAUGGCUCGGAUGUUGCCUUUGUUGUCAGGUUUGAGUUCUUUAAGAGAGCUAAAACUAAGGGACUGCAAUCUUUGUGAAGGAGAUCUUCCACGUGAUAUUUCUGGUCUAUCCUCUUUGUGGUGUCUUGAUCUUAGUGGUAACAAUUUCAUCAGCAUACCUGCAUCUCUUACUCGACUCUCGAAGCUUACACAUCUUAUAUUGUCAAAUUGCAACAUGUGCACUGUUGGUGAAGCAGAUAGUCAUAGUGAUAUUUCUUGUUUAUCCUCUUUGAAAAGUCUUACUCUUAGUGGUAACAAUUUCAUCACCAUUCCUUUGGCUCUUACUCAACAUUCCGGGCUGCAAUAGCUUGUAUUGUCAGACUGCAAGAUGCUUAAAUUGUUGCCUGCGCUAUCAACAAAUAAACGAGUGCGGAUAGAUGGUUGUUCUUCAGUAGAAGUAGUUGCAAGUCCAUCAAAAGUAUGCAAUUUAGUGGGUUGUGACAUUACUGCCAUUAACUGCUUCAAAUUGGCUGAGAAAAUCAAUGCAUUAACACUGCUGAAAGAACAUAUUAAGGUCUAUUAAUCUAUUUUUCUCCGUUACAAAAUCUCAUACUUGAGAAUUUAUGGUUUUAGUUACCAGACGACUUGUGUUUUGUUUUGCAGGCUGUUCGAUAUCCAAGAGAUUGUUUUGAUGGUGGCAUCGUUGAUAUUAUGUUGCCCGGAAGUGAAAUUCCAGAAUGGUUUAGCCAACAAAAAAGUGACUCUUCAAUUAAGAUACCCCUACCUAUCAACCUUUGGAAAGAUAGUCAAUGGAUUGGAGUUGCUUGUUGCUGCAUUUUUGUCAAUAAUGAUGCUUCAAGGAAAGAGUUUAUUAGCUGUGAUGGAUCUAUUUUUCGAGGUAGAAAUUGUCGAUCUAUUUGUAAGAGAAACAAGUGGGUAGGUCAACGCUUGGACAAGCCCAUAAUGAAAGAUCACCUUUUUUUUCGUUAUUUUCCGCGUGAUCAAUCAUAUCCAUUUUCCUUGGAGGAUAAAUAUGGUGACUGUGAAACCAAUAAUUUAUGGACAACAGAUUGCUUAGAUCAACUAUGCGAUGAGCUUGAGUUGUCUUUCAAUGACAAAUUUGUACCAAAUUGUGUUAAGGUGAAAAAGUGUGGUCUAAGAAUAGUGCAUGAGAAAGAUUUGGAAGAGAUAAAAGAGUUGCAGUGCCAUACCACUCAAUCUUCUCCAAAUUUUGAACACAUCCACCAACACUCUGCUCACAACCGUGGAUCAGUAGGUAGCACUUCUCACAUGAAACGAAAACGUAAUAUCUAUGAGGAAAUGGAGGAAGAAGAGCCGCAAUCAAAACGGAUGCAAAAUUUUUUCAAUUUUGUAAUGGGCCAAUCAAGAAAGAAGCAUUAACUGUGGUAAACUACUUAACCAACUUUGUCCCAUUAAUUUUUUUUUGCGUAUGUGAUAUUUCCUUCAUACUCAUAUUCAACAUGUACAUAUCUCAAAUGUUUUAUACCAUUUAAAAUUUAACCAAGGAGGACUUCUUAUUCUUUCAGUUAAAUUCUGAUUACUUCAGUGAUAUUCUAGCCAUUUUAGCCCUUCUCUGUGUCUAUUUAAAGGAGUCAUUGUAUCCCUGUUUUGAUACGCAAAUCAGUAAUAGCUCUUCUUUAAGGGUAGCAAGAUGUAGUUAUAUAUGGGGUUUUGGUGAGAGUUUGAGAGGAUUUUAUGAAAUCCCUUUUGUGAGAGCUUUGGGUAUUAACUUUGUAAUCGGGGUUUGGAUUUUAGUGUUCUCAUUGUACUCUUGUUUUGUUUACUCCAUUAAUGUUAAGCCGAAGCCUCUUUUGUCCGUAGUUUUUAUUCUCUUUGGAAGAGUUUUUUAAUGUAAAAUAAUUGUGUUUAUUCUUCUCCACUUUUAUUAUUUCAUUAUUUAUACCGACAAUCCCAAAUAUAUAUUAUGAGUGAGACUUAAAUUUCAUCAAACGUUUAAUAAUUUUAAUAUUAAAAUAUAUAUCCUUUUUAAAAUAAGUGAAUUUAGGUCAAAUUAAAUGAAAAGAGGAACUGAAUUUCUAAUUAGGUGUUAAUGGAAUCUUUUAUUUUAAUUCAAGUGUUUUGUUAGUUCAUAUAUGGCUUACUUAGUUUAUGGGUAUGCAUGGAUUAAAUGAAAAAAAAUAAAUUAAUUAAGUUGAUAAGUAUUAAUUUAUGAAUAAAAAUUAAUUUAAAAUUUUUAAAAAUUAAAUUAAGUGAAAUAAAAUUUCGUAUCUAAUUUAUUAGAGUUAAUUUAGAAAUUUAAUCAAAUUAGGUUAAAAUAUUUUUUAAUUUAUUAUUUAAAAUUUUGUAUAUCCAAAUUAUAAAAAUCAAACUCGAUUCAAAUCCGAAAAAGUCGGAAAACUUUAAUAAUUUCCCUAACUCAAACUAAUUUAGCCACCUAUUAAAACCACUUUAUCAAAGCCACACCGUCGUACCAAAUCAUAAUAAAAAGAAAUUUUUAAAAAAUUACAAAACUAAUCCUUAAAAUUUUAGAUUACCAAAGUCAAAACUUAUCUAAAAUGGGGCAGGUACCAAAGUUGGUGCCUUUAUCAUGCUUUUUCUUCUUCUUCCUCCACAGGAGUUUUUUUAUUAUUUAUUUAUAUAUUUUUUUACACAUUAAAAAUUAAUUAUAUAUAUUGGCAUAUUGUAUAUGUAUGUCAUGUUUACAUUACUUACAUAUUAUAAUAUAUUUUAUAUAGCUUGUCAUAGUUAUUUAAUAUAUUCGUUUUAUUGUUUAUGUUUGAGGCUCGUGAUUAUCCUCCUAAUAAUAUUUGAAUUUGCGUUCAUUCUUUAAAAGUAUAAUGUGACUUACUACUACCCUCAACAUUUAUAUUCAUCUUGAAUUUUACAUAAUUUCUCAUAUUCAUUUAAUAUGUAUAUUUACAUUAUUUUUUUCUUCGGAGUACCAUAAAUUUAAAUAAAAAUUGACAUGGUAAUGAUUCAUUUUAAGUGAGAGUUUAACAUAUUUGUUAUUUGUGUCAUGUAUAUAUAAUCUUGAUGGCAGCAGAACUAUGUGUUUUAAUUAUUUUACAUUAUUUUAUUAUGUAGGUUUUAAAAUAUUGGGAUAAAUCUCAAAAUUAUAUAUUAACUUUGAUUCAAUGUGCAAUUUGAUAAAUGAGCUUUGAUUUGGUGCAAUUAUACACGUGGAACUUUGAUUUUGAUUCAAAUGUAUAUAUGAAACUUUGAUUGUGGUAUAUUAACAUAAAAUGAUACUAUAUUAAUAAUUUGUGAGAAUUGGAUACAAUGAUACAUCAAUUUAUAUUUAUAUUGGAUAAAUAUAAUUGUAUGUGUAUGUAAUAUAUUAACAUAAAAUGAUACCAUAUCAAUAAUUUGUGAGAAUUGGAUACAAAUCAAAAUUUCAUAUAUAAAAUUGCACAUUAGACCAAAGUUCAUGUAUAGUUUUGAGAUUUAUCCCCAAAUUAUUUCAUAUAUUUAUAUUAAAAAAUUCCAUUUAUCCUCUUUCAUAAUAAUUUAAUUUUAAAUCUAAAUUUAUUUACUUAAAAUUAUAUUAUUACGCUAACAUAUAUUACUAUAAUGGAUUACGUGAUGUGACAGGUUGUUACAAAGGAGGUUGCCAUCGUGGAGCACUAGAAGAUCGUGUGUUGUGGGGUCCAUUAUGGUAUUCAUUUAGGCGGUACGGAGUUGUUAUGCACAAAUGAGUCCUAUUGAUUGCUCAAGAGAAUGUUCACACUGAAAAGCGAGUUGCUAGACCAUGGUGAGCAAGUAGCUAAGUAAAAGGGGAAGUGUUUCCCAUAUAAGCAACUGGUCUAUAGUAGGCUAGGAGGUAGAUUGAUUGAGGGCAAUCUAGAUGAGUGGGUAGAUGUAGGACAUUCUCUAUUGUCUAGAUGGAGUCUCCUAGAUGUGUCAUGUGUUAGGCCCGGGUGAUAGGUAUAACAAAAGUUCAUGUACAAGUAUUAGUCUUGCUUUUGCCAAUAGUCUUGUUUUAAUUUGCAAGUAUUUUUAGGGAUAGAUUUAUAGUCUUCCCUUUCAGUUUAGUAAAUACUUAGUUUUCUUGCUGAUUUUGCCCUUACUUUGGACUCUCAGGAUUGGUUUUCUUAUCAUGUUAUUUGCUUAUAGUCACUUUAGAUAUAUCGUGUUUGAGUCGUGACAAAAUCAGUUGUCAACAUACUAUAAUGUUCUAUUCUUAGUAUGUUGAAGUCUUUGUUUGUGUUGAUGGAACUUGUCCAUUAUCAGUGACAAUGAGUGUUUGUUGUAUCUUUAUUUUCUCCGAAUUGUGUGGUCCCAUUCAUGAAAUAAAUGAAUUAAUUUUUCUUUCACUUUUCUUCAUAUGAUAUAAAUUGUAUAAUAUAUAAAAUAAAUGAAAAACAAUAUAUGAUAAACUUAAAAAUUGGUCGAGUUGAGUUGAGCUUGAGCUUUGAAUAUUAAAGCCUAAAUCCAACUCAUAUUUUAAACGAGUCUAAUUUACCCAAACCCAAUUUAAGCAUAAUAUUUUUGUCCAAAUCCUCUUAAAUUUUGAAUGAGCUUUUGGACUUGAACGAUUUACUCUUGAACAAAUCUGAUAUUUUUUAAAUAUUUUAUACAACAUUAUUCGAGUCAUAUUUUGAAUAAAAUCUUUUGUAAUAGAAUGGCUUGCUACUAUGGAUGGUGGAACCAGGGUUUGCUGAAUUUACUACCUCCACACCAUAUCCAUAGAAACUAAUAGCAUUCCAUUAUCCACUGCUUAUAAAGUAAUACCAAUAUAAUAAAAUUUAUGCUAAAAUCAAUUUAAUGUUUUUUUAAAUAGGAUUUGUAGUCGAAUUGGAUAGGUUAUUAGUUUGUUGGUCCAAUGAUUAAAAAUUAUUAAAAUUUAAAAAAGUUAAAAUAGAGUUUCGAUUCAUUUAAUUUUUCAUAGGUUGAAUCGGUUCAUAUCAAUUUUCAAUCUAAUCAAUUCAAAAUCACUCUUCGAACCAAUACUCUGUUGGCUUUUGAUCUAAUCGAUCGAUCAAUCCGAUUCAAACAAGACUGAAUCAAUAGAUAAAAGAUGAGAAUAAUUCUUAACAACAACCUGCAAAUUAUGUGAUUAAUUAUAUCUCAAAUUGAUCCAACAUAAAACAGAUAAAAAGAAAAGGUUUCAACAACUCUUCCAAAACAUAUUAUGUUUUAAUGAUCCCACACCAUGUUAAUGAGUUGUGUACUGCACCUUCCUCGAUGGGCAAGCAUAUUUCCCACAUGGGAUUCCCACAAGGAAUCACAGCUUCUUUACUGCAACAACAUGGAAAAAAAAAACUUGAUGGAAAUAAUUUAAGAUCAAAAUUAAACACCAAUAUAUACACACAUAGAAAAUAAAGAGAAACUUAGAGCUAACAUAUAUAUACACACAGACAUACACAUACAUACAUUCGGUAUUUCCAGCGUUUUGUCCAGUUCUUCUUCUCUUCUACUUCUUGCAUGUAAAAGUAAAAUUCCCAUGCCGAUCACCGGUCCCUGUACAACAAAACUUUAAAAGCAAUGAACUAUAUACAUAUACGUUAGUUUUUUGAUUGGAAAUGAGACCCUUUCAUUUCUCUUUUCACACACUCGCAUUGAACAACAAUGGAGGGGAAAUAGAGUAAGAAUUAGCUCAUUGAUCCUUGUUUUAGCUUAUUUUAAGAUGGAUGAUUGAAAUUUGAUUAUGAUAAGAAUAUAAAAACAAAUUUGAGGUUUUCUUUUAUGUUUUUUUUUAUUGCUUUUUAAGUAUUGUUUUCAACAGCCCAUAUAUAAGUUGAAAGUGAUCAACUUUAAAGGGUCCCAAAACCUGAUCAAUACCCCAGACUUUAUAAUUGUAGAUGUCCAUCCAUCAUUCGGAGUGCUUAAGAGGCUUAAACUUUUGAAUUUCAAAGACUGCAGAAGUCUUAGGAGUCUUCCAACCAGAAUUGAAGUGAAAUCCCUUGAAACAUUGAUUCUUUGGUGUUGCUCAAAACUUCAAAGGCUUCCAGAUAUCGAUGGGAAAAUGAAAUGUUUAAAAACUCUUAAUCUUUCUGGUUAUUAUAGAGUUGAAAAUUUACCAGAGAAUUUGCAGCAAGCGAAGUUUUUAGAAGAGCUCGAUUUAAGUGAAACAGCCAUAACAGAGCCACCAUACUUCACUUUUCAAUCUAAAAAUCUUAAAUUUAGUGGGUUUGGCCUGCCCUACAGGCAUUGACUGCCUUAGAGCCACUGACUGCUACAGAUUGGCUGAGAACAUCAAUCCAUUAACAUUGCUAAUUAUUAAAUACGUAAAAUACAAACCGUCCAACAUUUUUAAUUAUUACUUAUAAUUAAAGUAGACUCCACUUUGCCAACUCUCACCUUCUUGGAAACAACAUCCAUCGCUCAUCUUUGACCCCUAUGCUCAUAUACUUACUUUUUCUAGUUUCUUUGUGGAUAUUGGGCGAUCUAUUAUCUGAUUUUGAACACCAGAUUGAGAUAUUCUUCUCCUUUCAUACAUCCUCAUGUUGUCCUUACCAUCAACUUCUUCCUCCAUUUCUAAAAAGAAAUAUGAUGUUUUCUUGAGUUUUAGAGGUGAAGUUACUCGCAAAAACUUCACCGAUCAUCUCUAUGCUGCUCUAAAGAGGAGUGGGAUCGUCACUUUCAGGGAUGAUCCAAAGCUGGAGGCCGGCGAAGAGAUCGCGCCAGAACUCUUUAAAGCAAUUCAGCAAUCAAGGUGCUCGGUAAUCGUUUUUUCACAAACUUAUGCCUUUUCAAGUUGGUGCUUGGAGGAGCUUGCUGAGAUUGUUAAACAACAUAACAACGACGGCCAUAAAGUGUUUCCAAUUUUUUACGAUGUUGAUCCAUCUGAUUUAAGAAAACAAAAAGGGAAAGUGGAAGAAGCCUUUGCCAGACAUGAAGAGAGAUACAAAGAAGAAAGUGAGAAGAUCCAAAGGUGGCAAAAUGCUUUAAUUCAAGUGGCUGCAAUCGAGGGAUGGCAUUUAAAUAACAGGUAAUUCUUUCUUUUCUUCUCUAUUUUCUAGUUUUUUGGAUAUAUAUAUGUAUGUAUGUAUAACUUUUUUUUUUUCUAAUCCUAUGUGUUUAAUUGAAAAGUGUCAUAUUUCAAUAAAAGAGCAAAUUUUGUCUUCUGGCUCCGCAACAGAUCUUGCUUUCUUAUUCUUGGUUCUUGUUUGCUUCCAAACUAUAUUAUGUUUCAUGAUUCAUUGAAAAAGAAAGUGCAUUCGAAACAUAUCAACAAAAUUUUACUCAAAACAUUAAAAUUUCAUUUUUUUUAGGCAUGAAUCAGAAUUUAUUAGAGACAUUGUUAUGAAGAUAUCAGCAAAACUAUGUCAGACAUAUCCAGUUACUCAUAGCGACUUGGUUGGUAUUAUUGAACGCUUGGAGGAUUUGUAUUUAAAAAUAAACAUUGGGGAAGAUGAUGUCCGCGUUAUAGGAAUUAGCGGAAUGGGUGGCAUCGGUAAAACGACACUCGCAAGAGUUGCUUACACUCAAAUGUCACCUCAUUUUGAAGGUAAAAGCUUUAUUGCUGAUAUUCGAGAAGUUUCAGACAAAUGCGGACUAGUUUCUUUACAGAAACAACUUCUUUCACAGAUCUUUCAUGGUGAAUGCUUCAACUUCUUUGAUGUUCAUGAAGGGAGUGACAUAAUUAGCCAUGGGUUGUCUCACAAAAAGGUUCUUGUUGUUCUUGAUAAUGUUGAUAACAUACAACACUUAAAAUGCUUGGCUGGAAGGCACGAUUGGUUCGGAUUAGGAAGUAGAAUCGUUGUAACAACAAGAGAAGAACAUCUGCUUCGAUCUUGGCCAGUUGAUGAUAUGUAUGAGCCCACAACAUUGAAUCCCAAAGAUGCGCUUCAACUUUUCAGUCUGAAAGCUUUUCAUAGUGAUACACUGCAGAAAGAUGAUUUCAUUGAGCUUUCUAAACAUGUUGUAAAUUAUGCUGGUGGACUCCCUUUAGCUCUUGAAGUUUUGGGUUCCUUUUUGUGCGGUAGAGAUGCGACUUAAUGGAGAAGUGCGAUUGAAAGACUUAAAAGAGAUUCUAAUAAAGAAAUUCUCGAUAAACUUCGAAUCAGUUUUGAUGGACUGGAAGAAAGGGAGAAGAAUAUAUUUUUAGAUAUAGCAUGCUUCUUCUAUGGGGAGAGGAAAGAUUUUGUAAUCAAAGUAUUAGAUGGUUGUGAGUUUAUUCUUGAUAUCGAAAUUGAUGUUCUCAUUAAAAAUCUCUUGUAAAAGUCGAAAAAUACAACAGAUAUUUGAACAUGCAUGAAUUGUUGCAAGAAAUAGGAAGAAUAAUUGUUAAAGAAAAAUGUGUUGAUGAACUUGAAAAAUGUAGCAGAUUGUGGGAGGAAAGGGACGUCCAUCAUGUCCUAACAAAAAACACAGUAAGUCAUUCAACAAAAGUUACAUACUAUUUCUUUUCAAUCCUACAUUAUUCACCAUUUAUUUUAUUUUCUUAUUGUCUGUUCUAGAUUUUUUUUAGGCUACAAAAAUAAUUGAAAGCAUAAUCAUCGAUAAUAAAAGGUAAGAAGACACACAUAAACUUAUAUAGUACUAUAAAUAAUUAUUAUUUUUAAAUAUGAUAAAAAAAAACUAUACCAAAAAUUUUGACAUUCAAUAUUUCAAUGUUUAAUUAUGAAAUUUAUCUAGCAACAUAUUUACUUUUUAAAAGAGAAAUGUAUGUAUUUUUGAAAUAUUAAUGGUAUAUUUUUUUUGAGAAAAUUAAUGGUAUAUAUUUAAUGUACUAAAAGUGUAUAUCAACAAAUUAGGUUAUAACAUGUCAUCAAUUUUUUUUAAUGAAAAUGGUUUCAUUUUUAAUUAUGUGUCAUUGUUUGGUUCAUUAACUUGUAAAUUAUGCAUUGUUUGCUAACCAAAUAUAAAUGAACAUAUUAAUUCAAUUUUUUAGGAUUAGGUAAUUUAACAUCGGAUGUGAUUGCUAGACAUAAGUAUCUCUUUAAUAUGGGCAUAUUCAAAAAAAAUUUAAAAAUUAUUUUUUUUACGUAUUUAAAAGGUUCUUAAAGGAUCAUAUCUUAGUACCCAUAUACGAAUGUGCAUUAAAUAUAAGUAUUGGAUACGAGUACUUAAAAAACAAUAUCGAUGCAACAUUUCUUUUAGAUAUUGAAUGCUUUUGUAUAUUUUGAAGCUCAUUUUUGUUUUGCUCAUGGAUAUUAGGGAAUCGAAUAAGAUGCUUAAUUUGAGUGUGGAUACCUUCUUGAAGAUGAAAAAACUGAGAUUGCUCAAAGUGCUUUGCCUUUCAAAUUGUGAUGAUCUCAAAUAUCUUUCUAAUGAACUACAACUUUUAGAUUGGACAGGAUACCCUUUAAGAUACUUACCUUCAAGCUUUCAACCGGACAACCUUGUCGCAUUUCUUUUACCAUGUAGUCACAUUCAAAAACUAUGGAAGGGAAAUAGAGUAAGAAUUAACUCAUCUUAUACUUGUGUUUUAGCUUAUUUAAUUAUAAAUUAUUAAACUUUGAUUAAGGUAAAACAAAAAAACAAAAAUGAGCAUUGUUAUGUUUUCUCAUUUGUUUCUAAUUUAUUAUAGUCUUCAACAUCCCGUGUUUAACUUGAAAAUAAUGAACCUCAGAGGGUCUCAAAACCUGAUCAAGACACCAGACUUCACAACAGCAGCAAAUCUUGAAGUUUUGAUUUUGGAAGAUUGUACCAAAUUAGUGGAUGUUCAUCCAUCAAUCGGGGUGCUUAAGAGCCUUAAACUAUUGAAUUUAAGAGAUUGCAAAAGUCUUAGGACUCUUCCAACCAAAAUUGGAAUGGAAUCUCUUGAAACAUUAAUUCUUUCGGGUUGCUCAUGUCUUGUAAGAUUUCCGGAUAUUAUUGAUGGGAAAAUGGAAUGUCUAAAAACUCUAGAUCUUUCCGGUUGUUAUAGAGUGGAAAAUUUAUCGGAGAAUUUGAAACAAUCGAAGUUUUUGGAAGAGCUCGACUUGAGUGAAACAGCCAUAACAGAACCACCAUCCUUCAUUUUUCAAUUUAAAAAUCUUAAAGUUCUGUCUUUCAAUGGGUGCAAGGGUCCAUCAUAUAAGUUAAUACCAAAUUUGCCUUCUCUUUUCAAGGUAAUCCAAGGAAGAAGGACGAAUCCCAUGGCUUGGAUGUUGCCUUUGUUAUCAGGUUUGAGUUCUUUAAGAGAGCUAAAACUAAGGGACUGCAAUCUUUGUGAAGGAGAUAUUCCAUCAUCAGCAUACCUGCAUCUCUUACUCGACUCUCGAAGAUUGCAAAUCUUAUAUUGUCAAAUUGCAACAUGUGCACUUUUGGUGAAGCAGAUACUCAUAGUGAUAUUUCUGGUCUAUCCUCUUUGAGUUAUCUUAAUGUUAGUGGUAACAAUUUCAUCAGCAUACCUGCAUCUCUUACUCGACUCUCAAUGCUUCAUGAACUUGACUUGUCAAAUUGCAACGUGUGCACUCUUGGUGUAGCAGAUAUUCAUAGUGAUCUUUCUGGUCUAUCCUCCUUGAUACAUCUUGAUCUUAGUGGUAACAAGUUCAUCAGCAUUCCUUUGGCUCUUACUCAACUUUCCAGGCUCAGAUUGCUUAAAUUGUCAGGUUGUAUUAGGAGAUAAAGAGGUGUUGGUUAGCUGUUAUGCAUGCUGUUAACAGUUAGUUAGGUAAGGGCAGUUGUAACUGCUGUUGACUCACUGUAUAUAUACACACGUACUUUGCAUGAGAAAAUAAUAAGAAGAAAUGAUAGACGAAGUUUUAUCUAGUAUUCUUGGAUGAUUAGCAUGGUAUCAAGAGCCAGUUGAAUCUUACUGAUUUUCUGGAAAAAAAAGGGGUGCCUCAUGGCCACUGAUGCAGUAGGUGAAACUCCCCGUCACUCGUCCAACACCAGAGAAGCUGAACACUCACAAGGUAAUGGUGCUCAAGGCCCGACUGAAGUGCACUAUUUCUCCAAGCAUGAUACAAUAAAGCUUGCGUCGCACAACUACCUUUUGUGGAAACAUCAGCUCUUGCUGAUUCUUGAAGGGUAUGGACUUGAAGGAUAUGUACUAGGUACCACUUCCUCCCCUCCUCAGUUUAUUGAUGGUCCUGAUGGUCAGCAAAUUGCGAAUCAAGAUUUCAUCGUUCAUCGAAAGCAAGAUAAGUUUCUUGCCUCUUGGCUUUUAUCUACUAUUACGGAUGAUAUUUUGGCUCAUCUUACAACCGCCAAAACUAGUUGUGAUCUGUGGAAUGCGAUUGAAAGGAAAUUUAGUGCUAAAUCAAACAUAAAAAUCUUGAGCAUGCGGCAUGCUUUAUACUCUCUCAAGAAGUCCAAUCUUUCUGUUAAAGAGUAUAUGUCGAAAGUUAAGCAGCUCAGUGAUGAUUUGACUGCGGUUGGGAGCUUUAUAUCUGAACAGGAACAAGUGAGCGUUAUAUUGGCUGGACUUUCUGUUGAAUUUGAUUCCAUUAGAGUUCUAGCUACUGCAACUCCAUUAUCUCUUGAUUUGUUGAGUGAAUUGUUACUUGACUGUGAAGUACGUCAAUUAGAGCUGUUAAAAGACACCUCCUGUCAAGCAAAUUUGGCAACUCAUCAGCAAAAUAGCAAUGAUACGGGUAAACAAUCAGCAGACUCUGCUGGGUAUUCUCAAGACUCCAAGCAGAAUGAUAGAGGACAGGGCCUUGGGUGGUCUCGUGGUCAUUUUCGGGGAAAUGGACGAGGAUGGUCACGUUCGAGGCCGCAAUGCCAGUUGUGUGGAAAGAUAGGCCACAUGGUUCAAACAUGUUACCAUAGAUUUGAUGAGUCGUUCUCUGGGAAUGCAGGAGCUGGUACGGUUCAAGUUAAUUGUCAUCAGUUGCACGCUUCCAGUUGUGUGCCAGCUGCUCCAACAUGUCAAGCGAUGUCUCACUGCUAUCACACAAAUCCUCAGUCUUCCUCUGGUUCUUUUCCACCUCAUCCAUCUUCACAAAAUAGUUCUAUCUGGUACCCCGAUUCUGGAGCGACGAACCAUAUAACACCAGAGGUGUCUAAUCUUGCGGCUCCCUCUUCAUAUACAAGUAAGAGUUGUGUCACCAUGGGUAAUGGUGAUUCGGUGCCUAUUGCUCAUGUUGGUUCAACCGUUCUUUCGACUGGAACCCGACUCCUAAAGCUUCAGAACGUACUGCAUGUUCCUGCAGUGUGCAAAAAUCUAAUGUCUGUGGGUCAGUUUGCUAGAGAUAACAAUGUUUAUUUUGAAUUUCACCCUGUUCUAUGUUUUGUGAAGGAUGUUCAGACAGGGAAGACACUUCUCGAGGGCCGCAUGCAUGAUGGCCUUUACAAAUUUCGGUUCGCAAAGCCUGUGUCAGCUUCAGGUGCUAAAUCUCCAGAGUCAAAUUCAACAGUAUUGAAUACUGCCAACUCUAUUCAGUGUGCACCUUCCUCUUUGUGGCAUGACAGACUAGGUCACCCAUGUACUGAGGUUCUUAAACGAGUUUUAAAAACUUGUAAUAUUCCAGUUAAACAGAAUUGUGUGCAACAUAUGUGUACAGCUUGCCAACUAGGUAAAGCUCACAAACUUCCGUUUACAGCAUCUAAAACAAUGUAUUCCUCUCCUUUUGAACUCAUUGUAUCUGAUGUAUGGGGCCCUGCCUAGUUACCUUCAAAUGAUUUUCGUCAUUACGUUUCGUUUGUGGACAUGCAUAGCAGAUUUACCUGGGUCUAUUUUCUUCAAAACAAAUCAGAAGUCGCUCGGUGUUUUAGAGAUUUCUAUCAGCUGGUUAACGUGCAAUUUGAUAGGUCUAUUAAAAUGCUACAAACUGAUGGUGGUGGUGAGUAUCGAGUACUAGCCCGUGAGUUAUCCUCUCUUGGUGUCCAACACAGGAUUGUGUGCCCCUACACUUCGGAGCAAAAUGGGGUAGCUGAGAGAAAACAUCGACAGCUUAUUGAUAUGGCUUUGUCACUAUUAGCUCAUGCAAGUCUACCGUUGAAGUUUUGGUUUUAUGCUGUUAUGCAUGCUGUUCACCUAACCAAUCGACUACCAACUCCGGUCCUCGGACAGACUAGUCCCUAUGAGGUUCUCCACCAAGUCAAACCAAGCUAUGAGCUCUUAAGGGUCUUUGGGUGUGCGUGCUUCCCAAAUCUCAGGCCUUUUCAGCCUCACAAGCUGAGUUUUCGGUCUCAACAAUGUGUAUUCCUUGGGAAUGUUCCUAAUACCAAGGGCUAUCGGUGUCUCGCAGAAGAUGGCAGCAUGUUUGUGUCUCGACAUGUAAUUUUUGACGAGAAAAAAUUCCCUUUCAAAGAUGGGUUCCAAACUAAGGCCGUCUCACAAAGCUCGCGGACGGUACCUCAUCGGUCUAUUCUCCCAAUAGUUUCAGCUGGUGGUUCGCAUGUUCCUGCUACGACAAGGGCAUCAGCUAGCCCAUCUACCAUAGGCAUCUCUCCUGGGCAGUCUCAACACAAUCCUACAGAGUCUCCGGCUCUUAAUGACACAAAUGGUCCACCUAAUAACUCUGACCUAUCUCCAUUACUACCUACUCGAGUCAAUCAUCACCCCAUGCAGACACGUUCAAAAAAUGGGAUUUUUCGACCUAAAGUGCUGGCUUCAGUCGUAGAUGAAGUUGAACCUACCACCAUUCAUGAGGCGUUUCAAAGUCCAGCUUGGACUACAGCAGCCGAGAAAGAGUACAAUGCCUUGAUUUCCAAUCACACCUGGGAGCUAGUUAGUUUACCUGAAGGUCGACGAGCCGUUGGAUGUAAAUGGCUCUUCCGUAUCAAGAGGCAUGCAGAUGGGUCUGUUGCUAGAUACAAGGGCAGACUCGUGGUCAAAGGGUACCUCCAGGAAGCCGGUGUUGACUUUCAAGACACUUUCAGUCCCGUCGUCAAACCCACCACAAUCAGAGUCGUCCUUGCCCUGGCCGUUUCUCACCAGUGGUCUCUUCGACAAGUUGACAUAAACAAUGCCUUCCUUAAUGGAGACUUGAGCGAGGAGAUUUAUAUGUCACAUCCACCAGGUUUUGAACAGUAUGGCUUACAUGGAGAGCCUCUGGUCUGCAAGCUAAAGAAGGCUCUCUAUGGUCUCAAACAGGCUCCACGAGCCUGGUUUCAAAAACUAAGGGAAUUUUUGGUGACCAUGGGGUUCGACACUUCCAAAGCGGAUAACUCGCUCUUCAUUCGACAUCGUGGGGAUGCUUUGUUGUACGUUUUAGUGUAUGUCGAUGACAUCAUCGUGACAGGCAGUGACUCACAGGAAAUUGAUAAGUUUGUCAAGACACUUGAUGGUCAGUUUGCGUUGAAGGACCUUGGCUAGUUGAGCUAUUUCCUUGGUAUUGAAGUCAAGCACACGUCGAAUGGGAUAGUUUUGUCUCAAACUAAAUACAUUAGAGACUUACUUCAAAAAGUAGCUAUGGACAGAUCCAAUGCUCUCCCAACACCAAUGGUUGCAAAUAAUCGUCUUACUGCUGAGGAAGGAAGCCCCCUUGAAGAUGAACAUCAGUAUCGCAGCAUCGUAGGAGCCUUACAAUAUAUCGUGAUCACAAGGCCUGACAUCGCCUAUUCAGUCAACAAGGUGUGCCAAUUCAUGCACAAACCACUAACCGGUCACUUCAAAGCAGUCAAGAAGAUACUACGGUAUUUACAAGGAACAAUGAAUUACGGAUUACAGUUUACUCGGGCUUCCAAAUUCCUUCUUGAAGGAUAUUCGGAUGCGAGUUGGGGAUCAGACGUUGACGAUCGAAGGUCCACCUCGGGGUAUUGUAUCUUCCUUGGAGGAAAUCCGGUCUCGUGGAGCUUGAAAAAGCAACACGUUGUGUCUCGUUCCACAACAGAGGCGGAAUAUAGGAGUGUUGCACAUGUCACUGCUGAAAUGACGUGGAUACAAUCCCUAUUAACUGAAUUGUGUGUUCCAAGCUUACCAAAGGCACUAAUUUGGUGUGAUAGUUCAGCAGCAAUAGCAGUUGCAGGAAAUCCAGUCAUGCACUCCAAGUUCAAGCAUGUGGAGCUAGACAUUUUCUUUGUUAGAGAAAAGGUGGCAGCUGGAGUUGUUCAAGUUGGUCAUGUCCCAGGGACCCAUCAGCUAGCAGACAUACUAACAAAGCCUUUGUCAGCCUCAGGAUUUAACCGGUUUCGGGAGUUACUUCGAGUGGUUAACACAAACUAAGGGGUUUUAGUUAGUCAGGAAAUGGAUGAGUAUGAGGAAUAUUAGGAGAUAAAGAGGUGUUGGUUAGCUGUUAUGCAUGCUGUUAACAGUUAGUUAGGUAAGGGCAGUUGUAACUGCUGUUGACUCACUGUAUAUAUACACACAUACUUUGCAUGAGAAAAUAAUAAGAAGAAAUGAUAGAUGAAGUUUUAUCCAGUAUUCUUGGAUGAUUAGCAGGUUGCAAGAUGCUUAAAUCGUUGCCUGAGCUAACAACAAGAAUAGGAAAUGUGAUAAUAGACGAUUGUUUUUCACUUGAAGUAGUUGCAAGUCCAUCAAAAAUAUGCAAUUUAGUGGGUGGUGAUGACAUUCGUGCCAUUAACUGCUUCAAAUUGGUUGAGAAAAUCAAUGCAUUAGCACUGCUGAAAGAACAUAUUAAGGUCUAUUAAUCUAUUUUUUCUCCCUUACAAAAUCUCAUACUUGAGAAUUUAUGGUUUUAGUUACCAGACGACUUGUGUUUUAUUUUGCAGGCACUUCCAAAUUCUAGAAAAUGGUUUGAUAAUGGCUUCUUUGAUAUUAUGAUGCCCGGAAGUGAAAUUCCAGAAUGGUUUAGCCAACAAAAAAGUGACUCUUCAAUUAAGAUACCCCUACCUAUCAACCUUCGGAAAGAUAGUCAAUGGAUUGGAGUUGCUUGCUGCUGCAUUUUUGUCAAUAAUGAUGCUUCAAGGAAUAAGAAGUUUAUCAGCUGUGAAGGAUCGAUUUUUCGAGGUAGAAAUUGUCGACCAAUUUAUUGGAGAAACCGGUGGGUAGGUCGAUACUUUCACAAGCCCAUAAUGAAAGAUCACCUUUUUCUUCAUUAUUUUCCGCGUGAUGAAUUAUAUCCAUUUUCCUUGGAGGAUAAAUAUGGUGACUGUGAAACGAAUAAUUUAUGGACAACAGAUUGCUUAGAUCAAAUAGGUGAUGAGCUUAAGUUUUGUUUCCAUACCAAAUUUGGACCAAAUUACGGUUGUGUUAAGGUGAAGAAGUGUGGUGUUAGAAUAGUGUAUGAGAAAGAUUUGGAAGAAAUGAAAGAGUUGCAGUGCCAUACCACUCAAUCUUCUCCAAAUUUUGAACACAUCCACCAACACUCUGCUCACAACCAUGGAUCAGUAGGUAGCACUUCUCACAUGAAACGGAAACGUAAUAUCUAUGAGGAAACGGAGGAAGAAGAGCCGCAACCAAAACGGAUGCAAAUUUUUUUCAAAUUUGUAAUGGGCCAAUCAAGAAAGAAGUAUUAACUGUGGUAAACUACUUAACCAACUUUGUCCUAUUAAUUUUUUUUACACAUCUUGUAUUUCAUUUAAACAAUUAUUCUAGACUUGUUUUGCAUAUGAGAUAUGAUCCUUCCAUUAUAUGCCAAAACAUUUUAAAAAAUUUUAUUCAUAUUCAUAUUCAACAUGUACAUAUCUCAAAUGUUAAUAACAUUGUUUUUUAUACCAUUUAAAAUUUUAGUCACUUAAUUCAUUCCUUUUUACAUUAUCGAAAUGUGUAUAUUUUAAUUGGUUUCACCUUUUUUUUAUUAAAAUUUUAUUUCAACUAUAUAUAUAUAUAUUCACUUACAUCUAUAUUUUAUUUGUAGGUUGAAGAUGAAGCAAAUUAAAACAAAAUUAUGAGGCAAAAAUGGAGACGAAGCAAGUAAUGAUAAAAUUGUCCACCAUAACCUCUUUUCCAUCGGAGCUGUCAAAAUGUGACAAACAAAAUUUAUCAUCGACAACAUGAACUUCAAGAAAGUGCAGCAUAAAUUUGAGGACUCUCAGAGACUCCAACAACAGAAUCACAUCUAAGAUCAGCAAGCUAAAAAUUUUAGCAUUCUAGUAGUUCAUGUCCUAAAUUUCUUGCUAUGUUAGGGGUCACAAGUGAUAGCAUCAUCAAUUUCUCGUAAAUAAAAUCCUUGGGAAUGAAACAAAAAUCUGUUAUUUGAAGGUAAAAAGAAUAUUCCGAAAGCCAAAAAGAAAUUUCUAAAUCAGGUCAUACAUACUCAAUCAGCACAUAGUGCUUAUAAAGUGUAGGACAUUCUCCCAAAUCGAGAACUAAAGAAAAACAUGAUGAUUUCUAAGAAACUAUAUCCAAAUUGUUGGUGUUAGGAACAAAAAAUGAACAAGUUCAGCUUGUGGCUUGAGCAGCAAGGCUCAAUGCUUGUUGAAGAAACAAUAGAACUUGAGGAAAAAUGAAAAGAAAAGAAAAGAAAACAAAGAAAAGUGAAGAGUAUUGGAACAAAAACUGAUAGAAUUCAUUCAAAUUUUAUCAAUGGCAUAAUGUCAAUACAUAAACCAAGCAAUUUGCUUGUCAAAAUCAGUAUAUGGUCACCUAAUUGCUACCUACUACCACUAAUAUAUUGAAACUUGUAAAAACAAGCUUGUACACUUAAACAAAGCUGAGUUAACAGCUCAUUCAUCAACAAAUUACAUCAACCAUCAACCUAACAUAGUUCAAAAUGAACUAAAAUACAUUACAUCAACUUAAGAUUACAAAAUAAACAAAAUAGGAACAGUUAUGCUUGCUCCAACAGCUUCCGCAUGGCUCGAUCUUCAUGGCCUGCUUGUUGUCUGCUUCUUUGCUACAUGCUGACCAACCUUCAACACUCCUCCUUGGUUAGCAUGUUGCAAACUCCUAAUUUCUUCCUUAAGUGCUCAAAUUAACUUUGUUACACUAAGGGCCUUGGUCAAAAUGUCAGCAAGUUGAUCCUCUGAAUUGCAAUGAACCAAUUUCACUUCUGAGCUUGCUCCAUUUCUCUAACAACAUGGAGUUGAAUGCUGAAAUGUUUUGUUCUUCCAUGGAACACUGGAUUCUUUGCAAUUGCAAUAGUAGAUUGAUUGUCACAAAAGAUCUUUGUUGCUUCCCUUUGAUGCACAUUCAAGUCAGCCAUAAUUUUUCUUAGCCAAAUGGCUUGGUUGACAGCACUUGCUGCUGCAACAUAUUCAGCUUCAGCAGUAGAUUGAGCCACUAGUGUUUGCUUCUUUGAACUCCAAGAAAACAUGGCUGAACCAAGAUUGAAAGCAUACCUUGAGGUGCUUUUCAUGUCAUCUAUCGAACUAGCUCAGUCACUAUCAGUGUAGCCAACUAACUUCAGGCUUUUAGCUUUGUUGUACAUCAAGCCAUGGUUCAAUGUACCCUUGACAUACCUGAGCACUCUUUUUACAGCUUGAAAGUGCUUCUCAUUGCUGCAAUGCAAGAACCUUGAAAGCAAACUCACAGCAAACAUAAUGUCAGGCCUAGUGUCUGUCAGAUACAACAAACAACCAACUAAGCUCCUAUAGGUUAUUUCACAAACCUUCUCAAAAUUACCAUGACUAGAAAGCUUCUCUCCAACAGCAACUGGAGUAUUGGUUGCUUUGCUGUUUUGUAUUGAGAACUUAGUCAGAAUCUUGGAGGCAAAUGCUUUCUGAUUUAGGAAUAUCCCAUUGUGCAUCUGUGUCACUUGCAUGCCAAGAAAAUGGGUCAUCCUUCCUAGAUCAGACAUCUCAAAAAUCUGCUGCAUUUUGGUCUUAAAAUCAAUCAGGAUUGCUUGGUCUCCUCCUGUUACCAACAAGUCAUCAACAUACAGGGACACAAUGAUCUGUGUUUGUACCCCUUCUUUCUUGACAUACAAUGUUGGCUCACUCUUGCUUCUCUCAAAUCCCAAACUGAUCAGAUAGCUAUCAAUUUUGCUAUACCAGGCCCUUGGAGCCUAUUUCAAGCUAUACAAGGCUUUCUUCAGUUUGUAGACCAUAUGUUCUUUACCAGCCACUUCAAAGCCCUGAGGUUAGGGGUGAGCAAAACUCGAUUCGACUCGAAAAAAUCGAAAAAAAUUCAAAUUUCGAGUUAAACGAAUCGAGUUAUUCGAGUUAAUUGAGUUAUUCGAAUCAACUCGAAUUUUUUUUUCAAAUUUCGAGUUCGAAUCGAGUUGAGUUUUCGAAUUCGAAUAAUUCGAAUAAUUCGAAUAUCAAACUAUAAUAUUUUACAUUUUUACCCCAAACUCCCAAACCUUUUUACUUUUCCCUCAAAACUUUUACUCCUUCUCACUUUCCCUCAAAACUUUUGCUCCCCUCCCCUCCCAACCCCCCAAUCUACCCAAAAUCCAUUUCACACCAAAAUUUUACUCUCCCAUUUACUUGUUCUCAAAAUUUUACUCCCCAAAACCUUCAAAACCUUUUAUUUUCCCCCAAAAUUUUUACUCCCUCCCACUUUUCCCCUAAAACUUUUAUUCCCUUCCCAUCCCACCUCCCAUCUACCCCAAACCCUCCCCCCUCCAAAUUUUUUUUAAUAUUUUCCCUCCAAAAUUUUACUCCCACUUAUUUACUUUCCCUCAAACUUCUAUUCCCCAAAACUUUUUAUUUUCCCCCAAAACUUUUACUUCUCACCCUUUACUCUCAAAUAAAAAAUCAAAAUUAUCCAAAAAAAAAACUAAAUAUAAAUAGUAAUAAUUUUAUUUAUAUCUAUUAUUUAUAUUAUUAAAUUAAAUUUCACAUUUUAUAUUAUUUAUAUUAUUGAAUUAUUUAGUCAUAUUGAAUAUUUAUAUUAAAAUUGAGUUAUUAAUUAUGCCAUAAAAUAUCCGUGUUAAAAUUUUAUAUUGGUAUCAAUUUCACAUUUUAAAUUUAAAAUAACUUUUAUUAAAAAAAAUCAUAUUUUUACAUUUAAUAUAUUUUCUAAUUCCAAAAUACAUAGUAACAAGAAUCUGAAGAUAAUUGAAACAAGUAAGUAAGCAAAGAAGCUAACCAAUAUAUAAAAAAUUAAUAAAUAAAUUAUGAGGUGAUGAAAGUUAAUCAAAAUUUGAUUAAGGUACACAAAUUUUAUUACGAUGGGUGACAAUGGUUACAAGGACCCAAAAUAAUUUUUUAAAAUUUAACUCGAAUAAAUAUAUUCGAUUCGAUUCGAUUUGAGAAAACUUCAAAUAAAGUUAGGAUGAUAAAAUGAGAUUCAAAAACUCGAUUAACUCAAAAAUUUUUGAUUCGAUUCGAUUCGAUCGAAUGCUCACCCCUACCUGAGGUUGUUCAACAUAGAUCUCUCCUUCAAGAAAUCCAUUGAAGAAGGCUGACUUCACAUUGAGCUGGUGGAUUUUCCACUGCAUUUGUGCUGUUAAGGCAAUCAGAAGCCUGAUGGUGCCAAGCCUGGCCACUAGUGCAAAGGUUUCCAAGUAAUCCAAACUAUACUUCUGGCUAAACCCCUUGACAACCAGCCUUGCUUUCAGCUUAUUCAAGCUCCCAUCAGCAUUAUGCUUGGCUCGAUAGACCCAUUUCACCCCAAUGAUCUUCCUUUUGGCUGGUCUUUCAACUAGUUCCCAAGUCUGAUUCUUCUCAAUCAUGCUGAUUUCAUCAUCCAUUGCUUGCUCCCACCCUUGCUGAGCUUCAACCUCUUCAAAGCAGCUUGGUUCUGCUAUGGCUACUUGAGCUCUUUCAUAAAUUUCAGCCAAAGGUCUAGUGCCCCUGACUGGUUCAUCAUUAAUGUCCAUUUCAAGACCAUUUUGAUCUAGCUCAGUUUGGUCUGUUACAAGGUCUUCAGAAACUACCUAUAGCUCAUUCUUUUCCCAACUCCAGCAUGACUUCUCAUCAAACACCACAUCUCUGCUUACAGACACUUUACUUGUUGAAGGAUCCAAGAUCCUAUAGCCCUUUUUGACUGUGUUAUAUCCCACCAAAAUACCAGGUCGAGCUCUUUUAGCCAGCUUAUCCCUUUUAACAGUAGGCACAUGUGCAUAGCAGAUAUAACCAAAGACCUUUAGGUGAGCCAAUGAUGGCUUGAAUCCAAACCAGGCCUCAAAAGGAGUUUUGUGAUCCAAGGCCUUGGUAGAAAGCCUAUUUUGGAUGUACACAGCAGUGUUAGCUGCCUCAACCCACAAGGUUUUAGGUAAAUUCUUCUCAAAUAGUAGUCAUCUGGCCAUAUCCAUCAAGCUCCUGUUCUUCCUCUCACUUACACCAUUUUGUUGAGGAGUAUAGGUGUUGGUGAGCUAGUGUUUGAUGCUUGCCUCAUCACCAAAAAACUGGAAUUGAGCUGAGGUGUACUCAGUCCCAUUGUCAGACCUUAUAGUCUUGAGCUUGCAGCCUGUUUCAGUUUCAGCACCAAUCUUGAACUUUGAAAACACUGAGCCUACCUCUGAUUUCUGCUUCAAAAAAUAAAUCCAGCAAAAUCUUAAAAAAUCAUCAAUAAACAGAAUGAAGUACCUGCUUCCAUUCAGUGACUUGAUCUUCAUAGGGCCACACACAUCAAUGUGGCCUGAUUUGAAGGAAAUGGGAGCCUAGCUUACUGUCCUAGCUGGCAUAUUUCACAAACCUUCUGUUUUUCAACUGAACCAAUGAAAUUUUUAGCCAAGUCAUCUCUGGAUAGCUGAUCCAUUGAUCUGUAGCUGUUGUGGUUGUAUAGGCAGUGUCUGAGCCAUUUGUCCAAUCAACAACAAAGCUCUUAUCAGCCAUAGUGACUGCCAUGAACUUGGAUCCACUUGGAUCACUGAUUUGGCACUCAUUGCCUUUGAACACUACAGAAUACCCUUUUUGUAGCUGUUGAGCUAUGCUAAGCAGGUUUCUAUCAAUUUCAGGUACCAACAACAUAUUCGAGAUGAGCUUGUUACCUGUAGGAGUGCAUAUCAACACAUCUCCUUUAUCUUCUGCCUUAAUAAAAUGACCAUUACCAAUAUUAACUUUGGUUUUGCAGCCUCUGUCUAAGGACUUAAAAAUGGCAGCAUUUUGUGUCAUGUGGUUUGUGCAGCCACUGUCCAAGAGCCAGCCAUUUGUAAGCUUCUCCUGAGGAGCUGAGCAUGACACAGCAAAAACUUGCUCCUCAUGGUCACUAUCUUCUUUUGCUACUCGAGCCUCAGCCUUUGGCUAUUGGAGUUGGUUCUGCUUUGGCUUGCCCUUGCUUUUGUAGGCCUUUUCAACAUGCCCCAUCUUUUUGCAAUAUUGGCAUUACACAUCUGUUCUAAACCAACAAUUUGCUUCUGGAUGACUAGACCUUUUUCAAUGCCUGCAGGGUUGGUCCCUUCUUUUUGCAGGAUCAGACUUUGGCUUAUCUCUCCAAGUCUUUUUGCCCUUGUAGGCAAAGGUGCUCAAGACAUGUUUGGUUUUUGCUUGAAAGGCACAUUCUAGGCGCUUCUCUAGUCUGCUAGCUCUUCUCUACUCUUGUGCAUAGAGAGCAUUGAUCAGCUCUGUCAGUGAGAUGUUGGUCAAGUCUCUUGAAUCUUCAAGGGAUGAAAUUUUUGCCUCAUACCUCUCUGGUAAGGUUGAAAUCACCUUUUCCACUAUCCUUGCUUCAUUGAACUGCUCACCAAGGAGCCUUAUGCUGUUUACCACAGCCAUAAUCCUGUCUGAGUACUGUUUGACAAUUUCUUCUUCCUUCAUUUUCAAAUUCUCAAAGUCCCUUCUUAGGUUCAACAAAUGUUGUUGCCUUGUCCUCUCUGUCCCUUGAAACUCCUCUUUUAAUUUGUCACAGGCCUGCUUUAGUGUUUCACAGGCCAUGAUCCUUGGAAAAAUCACAUCUGACACUGAGUUUUUAAUGCAAGAAAUGGCCUUGUGCCUUUUGGUCCUUUCAUCAGCAUGCUGCCUGAUCUGAGCCACUGUUGAAUUCGCUCUGAGUGGCUCUGGUUCAACAUCUUAGUUGACCACCUCCCACAGAUCGAAUGCCUGCAGAUAGGUUUUCAUUUUGACCACUCAUAUGUGAUAGCCUUCUCCAUUGAAGACUGGUGGUGCAGUUGGUGAGAAGCUUGAUGAGGCCAUUGUUUUGUAAAAUAGGUCCCUUAAGAUUAAGGCUCUAGAUACCAAUUGUUGGUGUUAGGAACAAAGAAUGAACAAGUUCAGCUUGUGGCUUGAGCAGGAAGGCUCGAUGCUUGCUGAAGAAACAAUAGAACUAGAGAAAAAAAGAAAAGAAAAGAAAGCAAAGAAAAGUGAAGAGUAUUGGAACAAAAACUGAUAGAAUUUAUUCAAAUUUGAUCAAUGGCAUAAUGCCAAUACAUAAACCAAGCAAUUUGCUUGUCAAAAUCAGUAUAUGGUCACCUAAUUGCUACCUACUACCACUAAUACAUUGAAACUUGUAAAAACAAGCUUGUACACUUAAACAAAGCUGAGUUAACAGCUCAUUCAUCAACAAAUUACAUCAAUCAUCAACCUAACAUAGUUUAAAAUGAACUAAAAUACAUUACAUCAACUUAAGAUUACAAAAUAAACAAAAUAAGAAUUGUUGUGCUUGCUCCAGCAGCUUCUGCAUGGCUCUAUAUUCAUGGCCUGCUUGUUGUCUCCUUCUUUGCUACAUGUUGACCAACCUUCAACACAAAUACAUGUGCAAACAUGAUAGUUACAACAGAAAAGACUACAUAAAAUGCCCCAACAACAACCGAAACUCUAAAGGGCGGCAUGAAAGUACAUUAAGUGCUAAUACAACAUGAUAAGUUGAUAACUUACGCAAGCAAGAACCAGACUUCAAUCCAAUAAAACCACACACCAGUAGCAAAGCAAAAUUAUUUUGAAGUCAGCUGAACUAAAACUUUAGAACUUUUAUAGAGAAAUUAAAUUGAUUAUGAUCUGAAUGGGAUUAUAUGUUGAAGGCUAGAAGUUUCAACCUAAAAUGUACUAAACAAUGCAUGGAUAUAAUUUCAAGACAUGAUACGUCAGCCAAUUAAGGUACAAAAGCAAGCAAUCAUACAUUUUUGCAAGUUAUUUGCACUCCAUUUACUUCUUAUAGAAAAAGAGAACGAAAAAUCAUAACAAUGCUCAAAAUAUAGUUGCAAGAUUCAUUCAGUUCAAAGGUGGUUGAAAUAGAGUUUGUAACAAACCUGAUUGCCAAGAAGGUUUCUGACACAUCUCGAGUGUUGGCUGAUACAGAAGCCAAAAAUCCUACAGGCUUGAGGAUCUUGGUUAUGACAGGUGCACUUAAAGAAUUAUCAAUUGGGGACCUAUGACUUGAACUGUCUGCUGCUAAACCAAGAUUUACGAUUUCCAUCUCUGCAUCUGUAAUUGCAUAGCCAACAUGGACAUUUGUAGCUUUUGGAGUCAAAUUAGGUCCAGAAGAGUCUGGGUCCCGUUUAAACCUCUUAACAGAACCAGACUUCCUUCUUUUAGCUCCCGUGUGACUCUGAACUGAUUCCCCACAGUCAACCUUUGGUAACCCAUAUACAGGUCCAUCACCUUCAGAAGCUUUGCCUUCUUGAAACCGAAUUGCAAGCUUAUCUGUAUUGCCCCCUUUAGAAGAGAAUGCACCUUUUAGCUCACUAAGUUUGGUAUCAUAAUCAUUUUUAUUCUUUGUCUCAUCAAUUUUCUUUGAACCGUUUCCAAAAUUGUUAUCCUUAAGCUGUCAUCGUUAUUUGUUUCAUUGAAAAGACCAAGAUGCUGGACGGGAUAAGCUCCAGGAAUUCCUUUGUUAGGAAGAUUACAAAGGCUAUUCCAUGGCCAUGGAAGUAUCCCGGUACAAAUGCAAAAAAUGAAUGUGGUAGAAAAGGAGGAACCACUAGCAUUUAUUGAGACCAAACGGUAGCAAUGAUUUCUAUUUGGUUAAAUUUUGAUGUUAGUUUUGUAUUAUUUAUAAAGUUAAAUUUAGUCCAUAUUCUCCAACUAGAUUAUCUUUAAUUCUUAUAUAUUUCGAAUUUUAAUUUUAAUGAAAACAAUAAUAGUUAAAUGUAUUUGCCACAUCAAAUUUUAAUGAAUUUAAUUUGCACCAUUUAAUCUUAUGUUCAGUUGAGCACUUUGAUCCACUAAAUCUUUCCUCUUUGUAUACCCUCCUCAUGCACAAGCAAAUGGCAACACCAACUAAUAUACACACACUUGCCACUGGAACCAUGAUCCAAACCCAUAGUUGAUUGCCAUUUCCUCCUAUAUCAGUAUCAGAAAACACCCACAAUUUCACACGGUUGAGCUCAGUUUCAUUGCUUGUUGAACCAAAGAAUCCCAUGAAAACCUUCUGCGGAAGAUAAGUAGAGAGAUUAGUAGGUUAAGAAAGCAUAAGUGUCUGGUUGUGCCCAAUGAAAAUUGAUAGGUUUCGGCCGUCAAAACAAAUAUAAACCUUUAAAUCCUGACCUCCGACUGAAAUAUGAACAUCGUAGUUGCUUAAAGAAACUUGCUUGGUCGAUUGGAUUCUGUUUAUGUUUAACCUAAUAUGGUUGUCAUCCAUAUCUUGCUCGUUGCUCUUCCUGGUGUCAAAUUCCACCGCCACCACACUGGCUUGAUUGAGAAGAACCAUUUGUGUUCUCAUUUACCAUCCCCAGCCACUGUCUUUGGCUGUUGUCCAGUAGGCUGGAGUUGUUUAUUAAAAAGGCAACACCUUCGCCACCACUAGAGGUUUGAUUGAGGAUAUUGAGGAUGAACUCGUAUUGAAAGAAGCAAUGGUGGUGUGGUUGCCUUUCCAAAGCCGAAAUGGUUUCUUAUACAGAGCUCGUCCAGAAAAAUGUUCCAUGGAACCUCCAUAACAUCUGGAGUAAGUUGGAUGGCUCCAAGAACUAUGUAAGAAUUCCUACUCAAGAUAAGCUGGCUUUCACCUUCUUUUUUGAAAGUUAAAAAAUUGAACUAAAAAGGCCUUCUAUUAUAUAUCAAAAGAUUUUAAAAUUUUUAUUCAUACUCAUAUUGAUAACAUAGUUUUUUAUACGUUUAAAAUUUUAGUCACUCAUUUUUACAAAAUGUGUACGUUUUGAUUGGUUUUACUUUUUUUUUAAUUUUAUUUUCAUUGUAUAUAUUCACUUACAUCUAUAAUUUAUUGUAGGUUGAAUUAAAUUUAAUCAACUUAAUACCAAAAUGUGGAAAGCAAUGAACAUAUUUUGUGACGAAGCAGGUAAUAAUAAAGUGAAUCCUUUGAUAAGGAUUGAUCAUAAUUUCAGCUGUGAAAUGAUAAAAUUAACAUAUUUUAAUCUCAUUCUUAAUGCGUUUUUGGAUGAGUAUUUAUGCAAAUUGGUGAAUUUGAUGCUCCUAAUCCUUUGAAUUCAUGUUCUUAUAUUUAGGUGAAUAUUAGAGAGCAGAAGAAGCGAAAAAUGAGCGAAAAUCAGAGAAAAAGAGCAAAUUUCAGGAGCCACACGGCUGGACACAUGCCCAUGUGCCGGCCCGUGUUGAUUUCGCACUUUGCUUCCCAAACACGUGGAAAAACAUAAUUUUUAGGCUUUCUAAACAUUUUAAAGUCUAUAAAUACCAAAUAGAAGAAGAGAUAGGGGAGCCACUAGAGAAGCUCGAAGAAAACACUUAAGGCACACCAUUGGAGUUAAUUCCCUAGAUACUUGGGAGGAUGAAACCUAUAACGAAUUCUAUUAUUUAAUAUCUAAUUUACAUGAUAAAUACUUUAUUCUUAUUCUUAAUUAUGCGUACUUAUUUCUUAUUUUAAUAUUUCUGGGAUAUUAAUUCAUGUUUAAUGUGCUUAAUUUAGUGGAGGAAAAGUCCCUGUUUAAGAGUAAAUCUAGCAUAAUUGAGUGGAGUUGCAUGCAAUCCUAUAAAUAGGACGACAUAAAUCUACCUGAUUAGAGUCAAAUCUAAUAAGGGAAUCCAUAGAUUUAGUUACUGCGACAAUAGGGGUUUUAAUUAGAAAGAGAUUUCAAUUAAUCAAUCUAAUUAAAGUCAAUUGUUCUUACUCUCGAAAUAGAUAUUAGCAUAGUUUAGGGAUUUCUACGAAUUAAGACACCAAGUAAAUAAAUCGUUUAAAUCAAAAUAAUAAUAAUAGAGGGAAUCCAGGUGGAUUACGCAUUUUUAUUUGUAAUGUUAUUAUAUAAUUUGUUAUAUAAUUAUGUUAUUAUACUAUUUUAAAUGGGGUUUUUGAAUUUUUUGUUUGAAAAAUAUAAAUUUAGUUGUAAUGUUAAUAAAAACUUUUAAAUAGGUAUAAUGACAAAAAAAUGUUCUUAGCAUUUAUAAGAUUUUAAAUAGGUAUAAUGACAAAAAAAUGUUCUUAGCAUUUAUAAGAUUUUAUUUUGAGUUAAAUUAUAAUUUUUUUAAUGCAAAAUGUUGAUUAAACAAUAGCCUUAUUUAAGUUUAUAACGUGAUAUGAAUAGUAAACUCUUUUCAAGGUUGGUCUCAAUUGGAUCAUCUUUCACAAUAGUCUUAUUUAAGUUUAUUAUGUUUUCUCAUUUGUUUCUAAUUUAUGAUGGGCUUCAACAGCUCUUGUAUAAGUUGAAAAUAAUGAACCUCAAAUGCAGCUGAGAUGGGAUUGCAUGUGGGAUUCUCGAGGGUGGAAUCGAAGGGGAGACUCCUUAUCUUUGAUUCGGAAGCUGCAAACAAAGGGAGUUGAAGGUCAGUGAUAGGAGCCUACAUCUCAAAUAUUAGAACUACCUGUGAAGGGUAUCAAAUCUGUGUAAACAUGGGCCAAAACAAGCAAACGGAGUUACACAUCUAUUGGCUACAGAGGGAUUAAAGAGAGAUGAAGAAACUUAUCUUGUUGGUGCGGUUCCUUCAUACGCGAAAGUAGCAGCGGAAGACGACCGUCAACAGUUGGGCUCACUUUGUCCAGCAGGUCGAAGAUCCACUGCUUAGAAAGAAGAUAAAAUGGGAUUUUACUGUGGGCAAGCAGAUUGAAGAAUAGAUGGACUACUGGGUUUCUUAGUUUCGGCGGAGAAUAAAUCGGAUAUAUUAUUAACUUUAAAUUUAAUUGUUAAAUUGGGCUCGAGCUUGAACACAUAUGAAUUUAAUCAAAUUCAAGUUGAAUGUUAAAUAUGAAAUUUAUUUUUAUUUAUCCAAAAAGCAGAAAUGUUUACAAAUAUCUAUAGUAUACAUUUGUAAUUCCCCAUGCUAUAAAAAGUUCUUAUUGCCUUGAUCUCUCAGAUUCACAUUAACCUCUACCAGCCUCAUUCCCACUAACUCCUUUACUAUUCCCAAGUAAUAUAAAGCGUAAUAAAAAGUAGAUAUCUCAAUUGAGUGGGCUGAAUCUAUAUAGAUGUUAAUUCAAUUUAGAUUUGAGUUAUUUUCUAUUUGAGUUAAAUUUUUAUGUAAUAGUUCAAAUUGAUUCGAAAUUAAGUCAUUUUAGAUAUGAAAUUUAAACUUUUUAGGUUUAAUUAUUAUGGGUUAUGAAAUUUUUAGAUGAUUAUGAAUUAUUUUGGGUUUGACGAAAAUAUUACAUAAAUGUCAUUCCUAGAAUUAGCUUCAUGGUGAAUUGAAGGUCACAAUCUGGAUUUGUUCAUAUUUUAAGGUUAUUGGUAUUCUCCUCACCUAAUAUACUAAACAACCUAUAGUGUAAAGAGUGUAUUUGAUGGUUACCAAAUUAACUAUAAAUAUGAUUAAGGCAAGAACACCUAUCGAGCAAUAGUAUAGUUAUGGUGAGUAGGAAAUAUCAUAUCCAUGAGGACUAAAAGUACUAGUAAUUACUGUUUUUCUAUUAUUUAGCUGACAAAUUGGAGUGAUUGUUUUUAAUCUAAAAUUACUGAACUAAUCCAACUAAGAACGCAACAGAGAAUGAAAUAAGAAAAAUAAUCGAAGAUUACCAAUGAGAUAGACAAUACCCAGGAAAGAAUCCACCUAGACUUCACCUAUUAUUCUAAAUCUGAAUUAAAUGAUUUAUUCACUUGUGUCUUGAUCCGUAGAAAUCCCUAAUUUAUGUUAAUAAAUAUUUUAAGAGUAAGAACAACUGACUCUAGGUUGAUUACUUGAAAUCUCUUUCUAAUUAAAAUCCCUAUUGUCGCAUUAACCCGGUCUAUGGAUUCCCCUAUUAGAUUUGACUCUAAUCCGAUAGAUUUAUGUCGUCCUAUUUCUAGGAUUGCAUGCAACUCCACUCAAUUAUGCUAGAUCUACUCUUAAACAGGGACUUUUGCUCCACUGAAAUAAGCACAUUAAACAUGAAUUAAUAUCCUAAAACUAUUAAAACAUGAAAUAAGCAUACAUAAUUGAGAACAAGAAUAAAAUAUUUAUCGCGUAAAAACAAAAAUUAAAUAAUAACAUUCAUCAUAGGUUUCAUCCUCCCUAGGUAUCUAGGGAGUUUAGUUCAUAAUCCUGAAUAAAAACAUCUCAGAGUUAGGAUAACAACAAGACAUAAAGAAACUCAAUAAAACUUCGAGGGAAAUUAAAUGGAGAUCUUCAAUCUUGAAGAAGAUCCACUUCUGAGUUGAUUCCCAUGGCGUUCUUCGAGUCUUUUCUUCAAUCUUCCCUGAGUGCCCCCUUAAAUCUUCUUCUAAUUGGUAUUUAUAGACUUUAGAAUGCUCAGAAUGCUUAAAAAUUGGGUUUUUCUGCGUAUUUAGAAAGCAGGGUGCGAUAUUGACACAGGCUAGCACAUGGGCAUGUGGCCAGCCCAUAUGGAAAUGCCUAGGCUAUGUGGAUCCUAGAAACAACUCUAUUUGUUUGAUUUUUCGCUCUCAAAUGCUCUCCUAAAUAUAGAAACAUGAAUUUAAAGAAUUAGGAGCAUAAAAUUCACUAAUUUACAUAAUUAAUCAUCCAAAAAAACAUUAAGAAUGAGAUUAAAAUAUGUUACUUUUAUAACUUAUCAGUAUUCGAAAUUAUAUUCUAAUUAAGAUACCCCUACCUAUCAACAUUCAGAAAGAUAAUCAAUGGAUUGGAGUUGCUUCUUGCUGCAUUUUUGACAAUAAUGCUUCAGGACAUUCUAUCGAUUGUGGAGGAUUUAUUUUUCAAGGUAGAAAUUAUCGAUAGCUUGGUUUGAGAUGCUUGUUCUUGGGUAAAGGAAUAAUGAAAGGUCACCUUUUGCUUCAUUAUUGGUCGCGUGAUAAACUAUAUCCAAUUUCCUUGGGAUAAAUAUAGUGACUGUGAAUUCAAUAAUUUAUUGUCAAUAGACUGCUUAGAUCAAAAUUGUGAUGAGCCUGAGAUGUGUUUCAUAGAUGCAUAUGAUUGAAAUUUGCAAGUGAAGAAGUGUGGUGUUAGAAUAGUGUAUUGGUGUGUUGUUAAAAACACUAAAAAUAAUCUAUCCCUAUAAUGAAAAGAAUAGUAUAAGGGAAGUAGGGUGAAAUCCUCAGGGACUGGAUUGCUACAACUUCUUGUUCCUCGAAAUCCUGGGCACAGUCGUGCCCGAGAAAAAGCGGUGUACAUAAUCCUUCUCAUGAUAGAAUAAACCAGUUAGUUAUAGUGGAAAAGGAUGCCUAUGACCACCAGCUCCACUUAGAUUUUAGACUUAUGAUUUAGAGGAACCUGACUCUAGCCAACCGUCACUUUCGUGGGACCAUCUUACACUAGAUCAUUGUUUCUCAAUGACGAAUGCCACCAUUUCGUCUCUUGGGCUCAACAACCUCUGACGCAGUAAGUUAACAAACCGGCUGUACAACUCUCCUAAAAUAUACAAAGCUGCUGCCUUUGCACAAGAUAAAAAGGUCACUUUUGGAAGGUCAUGGACGGAAGCGUUAAUCCCGUAAUACAGAGAAAUGAUGAAUACUCGUUGAGAAUGCUAAGUGCGAGUUCUAAGCCUCAUGAACCCUUUUUUGGAGAAUCUCAACAAUCUUUGGCCAGAUGAAUUUAAUGGCUCAUGCUUUUCGGGAAAAAGAAAUAAGUUUAAUGGAAUGGAAUUUAAUUGGGAAAUAAAACUAAAGGAACAAAAAGGCUAGAGAGCCUUAGAGGGAAAUGAGUGUUUUACAAGAAUUGAUGAUUGAAUAAUUAUGUCACUCCAUCCCCUAUUUAUAGUACAUAGAAAACCUAGUUUGUUCCUAUUUAAACUCUAAAAGAUAAAUAAAGAUAAAAGUUGAAAUUAGAUCUAAAUAAUAAUCCUAAUAAAAUUCAAAUUUAAAUAGAGUCUUAUGUUUAUAAAUCUCUUUUUUGAAUUUUUGCCCCCAAAUCUUUCACAGUUUGUAUUUUCGACACCACUUCUUUCCUAUUUUGCAUGCUAACCCAUUUUGUCUUUAAAUUCAGGCUUUUUGUCCCUAAAUUUCCUUUUGUCUUUAAUUUAGUCCCUACAAGAUGAAAAACCUUUCCUUUUAUCUUCAAUUUAGUCCCUACAAGACGAAAAAUCAUAAACAGCCCAAAUUAGUAGGAUCAUGCUUAAAAUAUAUAUGUAAUUAAUACAUUAAAAUAUGCCACUCAAUCUUCUCCAAUUUUUGAACCAACGAUUGACCAGUAGGUAGCAAUUCUCACAUAAAACGAAAACAUAACGUCUAUAAGGAAGCGGAAGAAGAAGGGCUCCAACCAAAAUGAAUGCAAAAAAAAAUUAAUUUUAUAAUGGGCCAACUUUGUCCUAUUAGUUUUUUUUACACAUCUAUGUAAACUUAUUUGCUUAUGAGAUAUAAUCACUUAUUUGCUUAUGAGAUAUAAUCAUUCUUAUAUAUAAAAAAAUUUUAAAUUUUUUUAUUUAUACUCAUAUUAAACAUGAGCUCAUAUUCUAUGCAUAUCCCAAAUGUUGAUAACAUAGUAUUUUUUUAGACCAUUUAAAAUUCUUCUUUAUUUUUAUGAUUUUUCUAUUUUUAAAAAAUUUAUGUAUUUUAAUAUUAUAUAAUUUUUUAAAUUAUGAUUGACUUUUUUUGGGUAAACUACAAAUAUAGUCACUUUUGUUUCACUCAGAUUAUAUUUUAGUCACUUAUGUUUGAAAUGUUAUGUUUUAGUCACUUGCGUAUCGUUUUGUUACGAAGUGGUCACUCUACCAUUAAGUUCCGUUACCUCCCUAACGGCAAUCCUACGUGGCAGUCCAAAUGGGUUUUAAAUCCUAACUUGGAUGUCUAAUUGGUACGACAAUAGAUUUUUAUUUAAAUAAAUUUAAUUAAUUGAAAAUUUUAAAUUAAUUACAUGUUGAACUGGAAAAGAAAAAUCAUUCAUCUCUUUUUUCUUUUUAGUUUUCUUUUUCAUUUUAACUGAAAAAAUUAUUCUCAUCCUAGUUGAAAAUCCAAGUUGUCAUUUAAAACUCAUUUGGACUGCCACGUAGGAUUGUCAUUAGGGAGAUAACGGAACUUAAUGGAAGAGUGACUACUUCGUAACAAAACGAUAACGUAAGUGACUAAAACGUAGCAUUUCAAACAUAAGUGACUAAAAUGUAAUUUGCGGCAAACAAAAGUGACUAUUUUUAUAGUUUACUUUUUUUGAAUUUUAGAGUUUAGGUUAAUUUUGUGAACUCUUUCUUGGAAUCUUCAUGGAGAGAACAUCUAUCAUCUCCCAAUUUCCACACCUACGCGCUUGAGGGAAAUGAGGUUGUUGUUUUGGGAGGUUGAAAGGUGAGGGGGAGCUGUUUGGGAUGGUGGUCGGUAAUGGAAGAUGAGAGUGAUGAAGCCCGGGUGUAUUGGUGAUGUUGGUGGUGAAGAUGGGAGCCUCGAGUGAUAGACAGAGAAUGGUGAAAAGGCCCCUGGGUUAGCUUAGAGAUGAAAUUUUCUGCUACUGUUGCCUCCAAACACAGAAUUGCUAACCUACCCCGCUUGAAUUUUGUAGAUUGAUUUUAUAACAGAAACCAGUGGAGCAUGUUGUGUGUGGUGGUUGCAGUGUAACCUGUCCCAAGCUACUAGAAACACAUUAGGAUCUGUUUGUAAAGUUAAUAAAAAUUUUGGGACUUUUAUUCAAAAUUUGAUCUAUUUCUCUCCUUCAUGCUCAUAUACUAUACUAUAUUGAAAAUAUAUUAAAGAGAUUUGACAAGGAUUGUACAUUAGGUGAUGCUUAUAUCAUUAAAAGGGACAAGAAACUAAUAGCAUUCCGUUAUCCACUGCUUAUAAAGAAAUACUAAUAUAAUAAAAUUUAUGCUAAAAUCAAUUUAAUGUUUUUUAAUCGGAUUUGUAGUCGAAUUGAAUAGGUUAUUAGUUUGUUGGUCCAAUGAUUAAAAAUUAUUAAAAUUUAAAAAAGUUAAAGUAGAGUUUGUUGGUCGAAUUGAAUCGGUUCGUAUCAAUUUUCAAUCUAAUCAAUUCAAAAUCACUCUAUGAACCAAUACUCUGUCGGCUCCUGAUCUAAUCGAUCGAUCAAUCCGAUUCAAAAAAGACUGAAUCAAUAGAUAAAAGAUGAGAAUAAUUCUUAAACACAACCUGCAAAUUAUGAGAUUAAUUAUAUCUCAAAUUGAUCCAACAUAAAACAGAUAAAAAGAAAAGGUUUCAACAACUCUUCCAAUACAUAUUAUGCUUUAAUGAUCCCACACCAUGUUAAUGAGUUGCGUACUGCACCUUCCUCGAUGGGCAAGCAUAUUUCCCACAUGGGAUUCUCACAAGGAAUCACAGCUUCUUUACUGCAACAACAUGGAAAAAAAAAACUUGAUGGAAAUAAUUUAAGAUCAAAAUUAAACACCAAUAUAUACACACAUAGAAAAUAAAGAGAAACUUAGAGCUAACAUAUAUAUACACACAGACAUACACAUACAUACAUUCGGUAUUUCCAGCGUUUUGUCCAGUUCUUCUUCUCUUCUACUUCUUGCAUGUAAAAGUAAUAUUCCCAUGCCGAUCACCGGUCCCUGUACAACAAAACUUUAAAAGCAAUGAACUAUAUACAUAUACGUUAGUUUUUUGAUUGGAAAUGAGACCCUUUCAUUUCUCUUUUCACACACUCGCAUUGAACAACAAUGGAGGGGAAAUAGAGUAAGAAUUAGUUCAUUGAUCCUUGUUUUAGCUUAUUUCAAGAUGGAUGAUUGAAAUUUGAUUAUGAUAAGAAUAUAAAAACAAACUUGAGGUUUUUUUUUUUAUGUUUUUUUAUUGCUUUCGAAGUAUUGUUCUCAACAGCCCAUAUAUAAGUUGAAAGUGAUCAACUUUAAAGGGUCCCAAAACCUGAUCAAUACCCCAGACUUUAAAAUUGUAGAUGUCCAUCCAUCAUUCGGAAUGCUUAAGAGGCUUAAACUUUUGAAUUUCAAAGACUGCAGAAGUCUUAGUAGUCUUCCAACCAGAAUUGAAGUGAAAUCCCUUGAAACAUUGGUUCUUUCGUGUUGCUCAAAUCUUCAAAGGUUUCCAGUUAUCGACGGGAAAAUGAAAUGUUUAAAAACUCUUAAUCUUUCUGGUUAUUAUAGAGUUUAAAAUUUACCAGAGAAUUUGCAGCAAGCGAAGUUUUUAGAAGAGCUCGAUUUAAGUGAAACAGCCAUAGCAGAGCCACCAUACUUCACUUUUCAAUCUAAAAAUCUUAAAUUCAGUGGGUUUGGCCCGAGAACAUCAAUCCAUUAACAUUGCUAAUUAUGAAAUACGUAAAAUACAAAUCGUCCAACAUUUUUAAUUAUUACUUAUAAUUAAAGUAGACUCCACUUUGCCAACUCUCACCUUCUUGGAAACAACAUCCAUCGCUCAUCUUUGACCCCUAUGCUCAUAUACUUACUUUUCUAUUUUCUGAUUUUGAACACCAGAUUGAUAUAUUCUUCUCCUUUCAUCCAUCCUCAUGUAUAUAGACAAUUAUAUGAUUAUGUAACUGAAAGCAAUACACAAACCGUCCAACACUUUACUCAUUACUUAGAAUUAUUGCAGGCUCCAUUUUGUCAACACCCACCUUCUUAGAUUCUUCCUGGAAAGAGCAUGCAUCACCCAAUGUCCACACCUACUCGUAUUCAUUUCGAAAAUUCAAAGGUUAUAGAGAAAUUGCUUAGAAACGUCCCUUAUUCUUCCCUGGAAUUUUCAUCUGUUUUUCUCAAUCUUCACUCUCAUAUACUUAUUGUUUCUAGUUUCUUUCUGGCGUAUUGAGCGAUCAAUUUUCUGAUUUUUAACACUACAUCCACAUAUAUAUUUUUCUUCUCAAACAUCGUCAUGUUGUCAUUACCUUCAACUUCCUCAUACAUUUCCAGAAAGAAAUAUGAUGUUUUCUUGAGUUUUAGAGGUGAAGAUACUCGCAAAAACUUCACCGAUCAUCUCUAUGCUGCUCUAAAGAGGAGUGGGAUCGUCACUUUCAGGGAUGAUCCAAAGCUGGAGGCCGGCGAAGAGAUCGCGCCAGAACUCUUUAAAGCAAUUCAGCAAUCAAGGUGCUCGGUAAUCGUUUUUUCACAAACUUAUGCCUUUUCAAGUUGGUGCUUGGAGGAGCUUGCUGAGAUUCUUCAACAACAUAACAACGACGGCCAUAAAGUGUUUCCAAUUUUUUACGAUGUUGAUCCAUCUGAUUUAAGAAAACAAAAAGGGAAAGUGGAAGAAGCCUUUGACAGACAUGAAGAGAGAUACAAAGAAGAAAGUGAGAAGAUCCAAAGGUGGCGAAAUGCUUUAAUUCAAGUGGCUGCAAUCAAGGGANNNNNNNNNNNNNNNNNNNNNNNNNNNNNNNNNNNNNNNNNNNNNNNNNNNNNNNNNNNNNNNNNNNNNNNNNNNNNNNNNNNNNNNNNNNNNNNNNNNNACUUUUUUUUUUUUUUCUAAUCCUAUGUGUUAAUUCAAAAGUGUCAUAUUUCAAUAAAAGAGCAAACUUUGUAUUCUGGCUACGCAACAGAUCUUGCUUUCUUAUUCUUGGUUCUUGUUUGCUUCCAAACUAUAUUAUGUUUGAUGAUUCAUUGAAAAAGAAAGUGCAUUCGAAACAUAUCAACAAAAUUUUACUCAAAACAUUAAAAUUUAUUUUUUUUAGGCAUGAAUCAGAAUUUAUUAGAGACAUUGUUAAGAAGAUAUCAGCAAAACUAUGUCAGACAUAUCCAGUUACUCAUAGCGACUUGGUUGGUAUUAGUGAACGCUUGGAGGAUUUUUAUUUGAAAAUAAACAUUGGGGAAGAUGAUGUCCGCUUUAUCGGAAUUUGCGGAAUGGGUGGCAUCGGUAAAACGACACUCGCAAGAGUUGCUUACACUCAAAUGUCACCUCAUUUUGAAGGUAAAAGCUUUAUUGCUGAUAUUCGAGAAGUUUCAGACAAAUGCGGACUAGUUUCUUUACAGAAACAACUUCUUUCACAGAUCUUUCAUGGUGAAUGCUUCAACUUUUUCGAUGUUCAUGAAGGGAGUGACAUAAUUAGCCAUAGGUUGUCUCACAAAAAGGUUCUUGUUGUUCUUGAUAAUGUUGAUAACAUACAACACUUAAAAUGCUUGGUUGGAAGGCACGAUUGGUUCGGAUUAGGAAGUAGAAUCGUUGUAACAACAAGAGAAGAACAUUUGCUUCGAUCUUGGCCAGUUGAUGAUAUGUAUGAGCCCACAACAUUGAAUCCCAAAGAUGCGCUUCAACUUUUCAGUCUGAAAGCUUUUCAUAGUGAUACAGUGCAGAAAGAUGAUUUCAUUGAGCUUUCUAAACAUGUUGUAAAUUAUGCUGGUGGGCUCCCUUUAGCUCUUGAAGUUUUGGGUUCCUUUCUGUGCGGUAGAGAUGCGACUCAAUGGAGAAGUGCGAUUGAAAGACUUAAAAGAGAUUCUAAUAAAGAAAUUCUGGAUAAACUUCGAAUCAGUUUUGAUGGAUUGGAAGAAAGGGAGAAGAAUAUAUUUUUAGAUAUAGCAUGCUUCUUCAAUGGGGAGAAGAAAGAUUUUGUAAUCAAAGUAUUGGAUGGUUGUGAGUUUUUUCCUGAUAUUGGAAUUGAUGUUCUUGUUAAAAAAUCUCUCGUAAAAGUCAAUAAACACAACAAAAAUUUGAAGAUGCAUGACUUGUUGCAAGAAAUGGGAAGAACAAUUGUUAAAGAAAAAUGUGUUGAUGAACCUGGAAAACGUUGUAGAUUGUGGGAGGAAAGGGACGUCCAUCAUGUCCUAACAAAAAACACUGUAAGUCAUUUAACAAAAGUUACAUACUAUUUCUUUUCUAUCCUACAUUAUUCACCAUUUAUUUUAUUUUCUUAUUGUCUGUUCUUGAUUUGUUAGGCUACAGAAAUGAUUGAAGGCAUAAUCAUCGAUAAUAAAAUGUAAGAAGACACACAUAAACUUAUAUCUAUGUGUACUGUAAAUAAUUAUUAUUUUUAAAUAUGAUAAAAAAACCUACAGCAAAACUUUUGACAUUCAAUAUUUCAAUGUUUAAUUAUGAAAUUUAUCUAGCAACAUAUUUACUUUUUCAAAAGAGAAAUGUAUGUAUCUUUUUUGAAAAUUAAUGGUAUAUAUUUAAUGUACUAAAAGUGUAUAUCAACGAAUUAGAUUAUAACACGUCAUCAAAAUUUUUUAAUGAAAAUGGUUUCAUUUUUUAAUUAUGUGUCAUUGUUUGAUUCAUUAACUUGUAAAUUAUGCAUUGUUUGUGGACCAAAUAUAAAUCAACAUAUUAAUUCAAUUUUUUAGGAUUAGGUAAUUUAACAUCGGAUGUGAUUGUUAGAUAUAAGUAUCACUUUAAUAUGAGUAUAUUUAAAAAAACUAAAAAUUAUUUUUUUCACGUAUUUAAAAGGUUCUUAAAGGAUCAUAUCUUAAUACUCAUAUACGAAUGUGCAUUAGAUAUAAGUAUUGGAUACGAGUACUUAAAAAACCAACAUCAAUGAAACAUUUCUUUUAAAUAUUGAAUGUUUUCGUAUAUUUUGAAGCUCAUUUUUGUUUUGCUCAUGGAUAUUAGGGAAUCGAACAAGAUGCUCAAUUUGAGUGUGGAUACCUUCUUGAAGAUGAAAAAAUUGAGAUUGCUCAAAGUGCUUUGCCUUUCGAAUUGUAAUGAUCUCAAAUAUCUUUCAAAUGAACUACGACUUUUGGAUUGGACAGGAUACCUUUUAAGAUACUUGCCUUCAAGCUUUCAACCGGACAACCUUGUCGCACUUCUUUUGCCAUAUAGUCACAUUCAACAACUAUGGAAGGGAAAUAGAGUAAGAAUUAACUCAUCUUAUCCUUGUGUUUUAACUUAUUUUAAUAUAAAUUAUUAAACUUUGAUUAAGGUAAAACAAAAAAACAAAAAUGAGCAUUAUUACGUUUUCUCAUUUGUUUCUAAUUUAUUAUGGUCUUCAACAGCCCUUGUUUAACUUGAAAAUAAUGAACCUCAGAGGGUCUCAAAACCUGAUCAAGACACCAGACUUCACAACAGCAUCAAAUCUUGAAGUUUUGAUUUUGGAAGGUUGUACCAAAUUAGUGGAUGUUCAUCCAUCAAUCGGGGUGCUUAAGAGCCUUAAACUUUUGAAUUUAAGAGAUUGCAAAAGUCUUAGGACUCUUCCAACAAAAAUUGGAAUGGAAUCUCUUGAAACAUUCAUUCUUUCGGGUUGCUCAAGUCUUGUAAGGUUUCCGGAGAUUGAUGGGAAAAUGGAACGUCUAAAAACUCUAGAUCUUUUCGGUUGUUAUAGAGUGGAAAACUUAUCGGAGAAUUUGCAGCAAGCAAAGUUUUUGGAAGAGCUCGACUUAAGUGAAACAGCCAUAACAGAACCACCAUCCUUCAUUUUUCAAUUUAAAAAUCUUAAAGUUCUGUCUUUCAAUGGGCGCAAGGGACCAUCAUAUAAGUUGCUACCAAAUUUGCCUUCUCUUUUCAAGGUAAUCCAAGGAAGAAGGACGAAUCCCAUGGCUCGGAUGUUGCCUUUGUUGUCAAGUUUGAGUUCUUUAAGAGAGCUAAAACUAAGGGACUGCAAUCUCCGUGAAGGAGAUAUUCCACGUGAUAUUUCUGGUCUAUCCUGUUUGGAAAAACUUGAUCUUAGUGGUAACAAUUUCAUCNNNNNNNNNNNNNNNNNNNNNNNNNNNNNNNNNNNNNNNNNNNNNNNNNNNNNNNNNNNNNNNNNNNNNNNNNNNNNNNNNNNNNNNNNNNNNNNNNNNNNNNNNNNNNNNNNNNNNNNNNNNNNNNNNNNNNNNAGUGGUAACAAUUUCAUCAGCAUACCUGCAUCUCUUACUGGACUCUCAAAGCUUCAUGUUCUUGACUUGUCAAAUUGCAACGUGUGCACUCUUGGUGAAGCAGAUAUUCAUAGUGAUCUUUCUGGUCUAUCCUCUUUAAUAAGUCUUGAUCUUAGUGGUAAUAAUUUCAUUACCAUUCCUUUGGCUCUUACUCAACUUUCCAGGCUCAGAUUGCUUACAAUGUCAGGUUGCAAGAUGCUUAAAUCGUUGCCUGAGCUACCAACAACUAUAGCAGUUGUGACUAUAGAUGGUUGUUCUUCACUUGAAGUAGUUGCAAGUCCAUCAAAAGUAUGCAAUUUAGCGGGUUGUGGUGACAUUCGUGCCAUUAACUGCUUCAAAUUGGCUGAGAAAAUCAAUGCAUUAACACUGCUGAAAGAACAUAUUAAGGUCGAUUAAUCUAAUUUUUCUACCUUAGAAAAUCUCAUACUUGAGAAUUUAUGGUUUUAGUUACCAAACGACUUGUGUUUUAUUUUGCAGGGGGUUCGAUAUCCAAGAGAUUGGUUUGAUAGUUGCAUCUUUGAUAUUAUGAUGCCCGGAAGUGAAAUCCCAGAAUGGUUUAGCCAACAAAAAAGUGACAAAUCAAUUAAGAUACCCGUUCCGAAAGAUAGUCAAUGGAUUGGAGUUGCUUGUUGCUGCAUUUUUGUCAAUAAUGAUGCUUCAAGGCAUAUCGAGGCUAUCGGAUGUAAUGCAUCUAUUUUUCGAGGUAGAAAUUGUCGACCAAUUGAUCGGAGAAACCGGUGGGUAGGUCGAUACCUUGACAAGCCCAUAAUGAAAGAUCACCUUUUUCUUCGUUAUUUUCCGCGUGAUGAAUUAUAUCUUUCCUUGGCGGAUAAAUAUGGUGACUGUGAAACCAAUAAUUUAUGGACAACAGAUUGCUUAGAUCAAAUAGGCGAUGAGCUUAAGUUGUCUUUCAAUGCCGAAUUUGGACCAAAUUGCCGUUGUGUUAAGGUGAAGAAGUGUGGUGUUAGAAUAGUGUAUGAGAAAGAUUUGGAAGAGAUAAAAGAGUUGCAGUGCCAUACCACUCAAUCUUCUCCAAAUUUUGAACACAUCCACCGACACUCUGCUCAAAACCAUGGAUCAGUAGGUAGCACUUCUCACAUGAAACGAAAACGUAAUAUCUAUGAGGAAACGGAGGAAGAAGAGCCGCAACCAAAACGGAUGCAAAAUAUUUUCAAUUUUGUAAAGGGGCAAUCAAGAAAGAAGCAUUAACUGUGGUAAACUACUUAACCAACUUCGUCCUAUUAAUUUUCUUUUACACAUCUUAUAUUUCAUUUAAACAAUUAUUCUAGACUUGUUUUGCAUAUGAGAUAUGAUCCUUCCAUUAUAUGCCAAAACAUUUUAAAAAAUUUUAUUCAUAUUCAUAUUCAUAUUCAACAUAUACAUAUCUCAAAUGUUGAUAACAUUAUUUUUUAUACCAUUUAAAGUUUUAGUCACUUAUCGAAUGUGUAUAUUUUGAUUGGUUUCACCUUUUUUUUAUUAAAAUUUUAUUUCCACUAUAUAUAUUCACUUACAUCUAUAUUUUAUUUAUAGGUUGAAGAUGAAGCAAAUUAAAACAAAAUUGUGAGACAAAAAUGGAGACGAAGCAAGUAAUGAUAAAUGAGAGUCCUUUAAUAAGGAUCGAUCAUAAUUUCAACUGAGUUAAAAAUCAUUUUAUUUUUAUUGGAGACCAACUUAUAUGUUCAAUUUAAUCAGUCAAAACUGUUUUUAUAUAUUUAAAAGAUUAAAUAUAAAUCCUUAAAGGUACUUAAAUAGAUUUAAUCCAUUCUAAUAAAGUAUCAUUUAUAUUUCACGACUUGAAAUACAAAUAAUAUUAUUCCAACUCCUCAGUUUAUAUUUUUUUAUAAAAUAUUUAUGUUUAGACAUUUAUUUUUAAUAUUUAUUCAAAUAUGAAUAUAAAGUAUGCACUAAUAUUCAAUUAGAAAAUCUUUUGUACGUGAGUGUUAAACAGUUGUUACGAUGGUUAGUUUGAUAGGUUGUUACAAAAUCUGUUAAGCAGUUCAUUAGACAGUUGGUUAUCAUAUUUGUAUAAAACCUCAUCAGUGUAUUCAUUCAACAAGAUAGCAUAAGACUAAAGAAUUCUUUUAUACUUCACUUUUCUGUUUAUACAUAUUUCGAGUAGUAUCUUAUAUGGUAUCAGUCACCUAGUCCUGGUACGUGCUUCCGUUGUUGUGUUAUGGCACCAUCAGCCGAUUGUAACUUUGCUGAUCCUAUGAGUCCGACGUUUUCUGGUCAACGCUUGGUCCAAUCUUUCCCCCGUCAUGACACGGUGAAACUAGAGGGAGAAAACUUUGUUCAAUGGCAGCAACAUAUCCGAUUGAUAAUAGAGGGAUAUGAGCUGCAAGGUUUCUUGGAAGGUACGCUGUCUGCUUUGUCUCGAUUUAUUGCGUCUCCAGAAGGUGCUCUUAUUCUGAAUCCAGAAGUGGCUACAUUCAAUCAACAGGAUAAGCUAUUAGCUUCUUGGCUCCUAAGUACGAUUAGUUCGUCACUUUUGUCAUGUUUUACCUCUACUCAAUCUGCGUGUGACAUCUAGAGCACCGCAAAUCGUCUUUUUGCUGCGUCAACUAGUGUGAAAAUUUCUCGCAUCAAGCAUGAUCUUCAUUCUACAAAGAAGGGUGAGUUAACUGUCACAGAAUAUAUUGCGAAGAUAGAAAAUACCUGUGCCUUACUUACAGCUCUGGAUCGGUGGUGUCAGAAGCUAAAAAGGUGGAAGUCAUUUUGGCUGGGCUCUCAUCGGAUUUUGAUAUCGUACUAACCUUGGCUUUGUUCUUGACGGAGCCUCUUCCCUUUCUGCGUUUGGUCGAGGUUCUCAUGGAAUUUGAAAGUAAACAGCUGCAAGUGGCGCGUGAGGUUCCCAUCCAUGCUCAUCCUGUUGAAACGCGUAAUGUUGCUGCGAUCGUUGAUUCUGUUUCACGUGAUGUGCGUGGAGGCCGUGUGACAGUAGGUUUGCAAGAGCGUGGCUUCUGUUCGCUCAUGCAGUGCCAAAUCUGUAAUAGGUUCGAUCACAUGGUGCAGCAAUGCUUCUAUCGCUUUAAUUGGUCUUACGAUAGUCUGAAUGCUUCUACCACGGUGAGGUUUUCACCGUCUACGCAUAAUAGACAACAAGGUUUUGGAUCUGGUGACCUUUUGAGAGACUGGUCGUCUUUUCAAAGUCGGAGUGAAUAUCCACCACAACUGCAAGCUACGAAUUUUGGUGAAACUGGCUAUUGGUUGAGUUUGCAGAAGACACAAAUGGACAGUGGUUUGGAUCUGUUGGCCCGUUUGAUUUCUUUGAAAGGCGUGUUGGGCAUGCUGUGGGCCAGUGUUCUGUACAACACAUUGGGCUGCCUUCCUCGGUUGCACACAGGCCCCAUUAUGCAGGCCAGAUUCGUGGGUAGUGUCUUGGACCAAAUGCUGGUCAGGUUUUUAGGUCGGUUCAUGGGUAGAAGACUAGUCAGGUUUUUGGGCAGAAUACUGGGCAUUAUUUUGGGUCAACUAAUAGUAAGUGUUUUAGUCCUAUUAGCGGGAGCAUGAUGUGCAACAAUUUGGGCUGCAUGCAGGCCAGUCUGUUGGGCCUCUUAGUAGGUAGAUUAAUGGGCUGAAUAGUGGACAGGUUGAUGCUAUUCAAAAACUUGGGCCUAAUGCUAAUUUUGUUGGUGUUGAAAGCUCUAUGCAAAAUAAUGCUCCUGUUCCGUAGCGAACAAAACCACGAGUACGUGUUUUUUAUUUUAAUUUCUCUCAGUGUGUUGGGCUACCCCGAAUUCUUGAUUUUCUUGCUUCUGAUUUUUCGGAUGCCACACAGUAUGAUUCCAACUUUGAUAAUAUAUACUAACUCGUGUGUUCCUGUGCCAAUAGGAACCUCAUCAUAGUAUCCAGAUUCAAGGGCAACUCAUCAUGUAUGUCAGAAUGCAUCUGAUUUAAAUGCAUCUAAUUAGGAGCAUUUGAUUCAUUUUGAUAAUGACAUCCUAAUCAUUUAGGCAUAAACAAGAGUUCAUGGGUUAUGCGUCCCUAGAGAACAGGUCAGUGAAACUACAAAUCUCAUCUCCCUGAAGUUGCAGUGGAGCAGACUAAAGAUAAUGAAUCUUAUUUCCCUGAAGUUGCGGUGGAACAGAUUGAAGCUAUAAGUUACAGAUCCUAUCUCUCUGAAGUUACUGUAGAGUAGAUCAUAUCAAACCUUAUCUCCCUGCAGUUGCAGUGGAACAAAUUAAAGACCGGCUACAAAUCUUAUCUCCCUGAAGUUGCAGUAGAGCAGAUUUAAGCCACAAACCUUCCCCUUUGAAAUUGCCGUGGGGCAGGUUGAAAAUACAAGCCUUACUUCCCUGAAGUUGCAGUGGAGCAGACUGAAGCUAUUAAUCCUAUCUCCCGGAAGUUGCAGUGGAGCGGAUUAAAACGAUGAAUCCUAUACCUUUAAAGUUGUAGAGGGUUUGAUUAAAUUUGAUCAUAUCAAACCUUAUCUCCCUGAGGUCGCAGUGGAGUAGUGGAGUAGACUAAAACCAAAACCUCGUCCUCUUAAAGUUGUUGCGAAGAAGAUUGAAGCUACAAGAAGUGCAGUGGAGUGGAUUGAAGCGAUAGGACACAGUGGAUUGGAAUAAGGCUACUUGAAGAAGAGAAGAGUCAAAAGAAGUCGGGACUUGGUGAGACCAGGCAAAAUUGGUCUUCCUUAGUCUUUGCUCUAUUCUCGUUACACGACAACGAGCAAAGAGGGGUAGCUUUACAGCCCAUUUUGCAUUGCCCAGUACCCAAAUAAACCAAAUUACCCACAUCUACCCAAAACCCAAUUACAACCUGGGGCCCAAACCAAAAGACUCAGCCCAAUACCCCUAACCUAACCAAAUCCAACACAGCCCAAAUGGCCCAAUGCAAAAAAAAAGGUGGGAGUCUGAAAACCCUAGCCCUAGGUGCGUCGCACCUAGGGUCUUCUAACCCUUGACCUACCAACCGCCACCACCGCAUGUCUGUCACCGCCGUUGUCAUGUCGACCGGCGCCUAUCAAUCACCUACAGGAGAAAAAUAAACACACAAGCAGUAAAAUAAUAGAAAAAAUGGAAACAAAUCGGCUAUAAAAGUCGAGCACCACUUCUAUAUAUAUAUUCAUUUUUUUUACGACUGGUUAAUGAAAAAGCAGAGCAAAAGCUUUUAAAAAAGGUUCACUCCAGUUUAACUGCUUCUAUUUUUUUUCUGUUAUUGUAUUUUUUCUUUAUUUUUUAUUUUUUUAUGUUUGUUUAUUUUUACGACCCUUUUUAACAAAAACGAAACAAAAUGAGAAAAGGUAAGAUACCUGUUUGCUUCGAAAACCGGCGCCGGAGCCCAUCUUCGACGUCACCGGAGUCGAACAGGGGAGGUUUUUUUCUUUUUCUCUCGGUCCCACGGUUGAUAAGGCCUAGCCUUCAGGGACGCCGUGAAGUGAGGGCUGAAAAGCCCGUUUCGCGCGACUCCAGGCACUGGCCAUGGAGACAGCGCGGCAGUGGCCAGAACUUAAGGGCCGGACAUGUGAGAGAGAGAGAGAAGGAAGUUUUGAAUUUUUUUUUUAAAAAACUUUGUAAAAAUGAUUUUUUUAGAAAAAAAUUUAAGUUAAAUAAUGAUACUUAUACAACGUCGUUUUGACAUUAGGGGGCAGGUGCCAAAACGACGUCGUUUUGACAUUAGGGGGCAGGUGCCAAAACGACGUCGUUUUGGCCCUGACACGUGACCUGACCUGUUGGCCUUCAGGAUUCGCGUGUUUCUGCUGUGAAGGGGCUAUUUGCGCAUGUGGUCCUUCUACUUUUGUGAGGCUUUGCAAUUUAGUCCUAAAAUUUUUUUCUUUACAUUUUGCGGUAUAAUUUCAUUUUUGUUUCUUUUCGGUCCAAACGGAAACGGUGCACUCUAAAGGACUGGGAAUAAUCUCCCAUAUAGUCCUCGCCCUUUUCCAGCGCAUUUCAGUUGGCCCUUUCGUUUUUUAUUUGUAAUUUAUACCUUUAAAGUCGAUUCAAAUUUCGAUCCAGUCCCUUUUAUAUUUAUUUAUCCAUUUUUUUAUAAUUUACACUCCAAAGUUUAUUUUAACCUCAAUUUGAUUCUUUAUCCUUUUAAUUUCAAGCUUUAUUUAUUUAUUUAUUCUUUUCGUUCUGUUUUAUUUAUUUAUUUAUGCAUUCAUGUAUUUAUCAAUUUCCUUACUUUUCUUGUGUUUAGAAUUUAUAUUGUUAUUUAUUCCUUUAUUGAUACAUUUCAUUAUUAUUAUCAUUAUUAUUAGUGUUUAAUUCAUUUUUAUAUUUCUAGUAUUAGAAUAGUAAUUAAUAUGGUCAUUGUUAUUAUUAUUUGGUGAUUAUUAUUAUAAUUACGUCAUGAUUAUUAUUGUAUUUUAUAAUUUAUUAUUUACCCUUUAAAUAUUCUACUAAUAUAGUUAUUUUAUGUUAUUUCAUUAUUAUUGUACUAUACAUUGUAUGAAAUAAUUGUUUGCCUUCACACAAUAUUUGCAUAAAUUAAACUUACAUAUUGUUAUAUUACAUUAAUUCUUACUUAAAUUCAAAAAAGGAAAAUUUUUAAAAUAAGACAACAUUCUGUAUUUAGAAACUCAAGAAAGUCGUACCCUAACUUAUGGGGUUUCGACUUUCUCGAAAAAUUCCAACACACGAAUCAUUUCAAACAAAGUUUUUAAAUGUUCUCGGGAAUUAAUAAAAGAUCGUGUUCUAAAUCACGGGACAUGAUCUCUUUUUUAAACCCGAGAUAAUCGAACUCUUUCAAAAUAAAUAAAUUUUUCGGCUUUCAUUCUCGUAUCGGGAAUUUUAGACAUUGUGUCCUAACUUACUGGACGUAAUUCUUCUUCUCGAUUAACUUGGAAAUAUGCUUCUCCUUUUAAAUUUUUCAAAAUUUUGAUAAAAGGAUCGUAUUAUUUUUCUUUUUUUUUUUAACUCUUCAAAAUUUUCAAUUUUCGACGCUAAGACACUAAUUAAUCAGCUAGAUACCAAUUUUGGGCGUUACGAAGGUGUUAAUCCCUCGUCGUACGUAACCGAUUCCUGAACCCAUUUUCUUUUUUUUAUCGUGGACCAAAAUCAUUGUUUUUUCAAAUCGUUUAUUAAAAUAACUAUUUUUCGAGGUGGCCCGAUCACACCUCAUCAAAAAAGAUUAGUGGUGACUCCCACAUUCGUUUUCAUUUUUUAAAACCCGAGUUGACCCCAUUUUAUCAAAAAAAAAUGGUGUCAACAAUGAUAAGAAUAUAAAAACAAAAUUGAGGUUUGGUUUUAUGUUUUUUUAUUGCUUUUUAAGUAUGGUUUUCAACAGCCAAUAUAUUAGUUGAAAGUGAUCAACUUUAAAGGGUCCCAAAACCUGAUCAAUACCCUAGACUUUAAAAUUGUAGAUGUCCAUCCAUCAUUUGGAGUGCUUAAGAGGCUUAAACUUUUGAAUUUCAAAGACUGCAAAAGUUUUAGGAGUCUUCCAACCAGAAUUGAAGUGAAAUCCCUUGAAACAUUGAUUCUUUCGUGUUGCUCAAACCUUCAAAGAUUUCCAGAUAUCGAUGGGAAAAUGAAAUGUUUACAAACUCUUAAUCUUUCUGGUUAUUAUAGAGUUGAAAAUUUACCAGAAAAUCUGCAGCAAGCGAAGUUUUUAGAAGAGCUCGAUUUAAGUGAAACAGCCAUAACAGAGCCACCAUACUUCACUUUUCAAUCUAAAAAUCUUAAAUUUAGUGGGUUUGGCCUGCCCUACAGGCAUUGAUUGCCUUAGAGCCACUGACUGCUACAGAUUGGCUGAGAAUAUCAAUCCAUUAACAUUGCUAAUUAUUAAAUACGUAAAAUACAAACCGUCCAACAUUUUUAAUUAUUACUUGUAAUUAAAGUAGACUCCACUUUGCCAACUAUCACCUUCUUGGAAACAACAUCCAUCGCUCAUCUUUGACCCCUAAUUUCCACCCCUAUGCUCAUAUACUUACUUUUUCUAGUUUCUUUGUGGAUAUUGGGCGAUCUAUUUUCUGAUUUGGAACACCAGAUUGAGAAAUCCUUCUCCUUUCAUACAUCCUCAUGUUAUCGUUCCAUUCAACUUCUUCCUCCAUUUCUGAAAAGAAAUAUGAUGUUUUCUUGAGUUUUAGAGGUGAAGAUACUCGCAACAACUUCACGGAUCAUCUUUAUGAUGCUCUAACUAAUAGAAAAGUCAACAAUAUUCAUUAUAUGUCUAACUAAUAACAUUAUAAAAAUAUAUGAUUAAAUUAGGUUAGAAAUUAAAUCUUAAAUUUAGGCAUAAUAAAAAAACUAAAAUUGAAAUUCUAACAUUUUCUUAUAAUGUAAAAGAAAAAAAAUCCUAUACAUUAAAUUAAUAAAUUGUAUUCAUACAUAAAAUGUUAUGAUAGUGAGUAAAUAUAAGUUAUUUUAGUCUGCACCUAAUGAACAUUUUAAAUGCUUCAAAUAGAACUUAAUCAUAUAAAAGGCAAAAUGUGAGGGACCGAAUUUAAAAUAACGCAUUGUACGUCCUCCCUGGACAGGUGUCUCCAAAUACUCCUUUAAUAUAUAGUUAUAUGGACAAUUAUAUGAUUAUGUAAAUGAAAGUAAAAGACAAACCGUCCAACACUUUACUUAUUACUUAGAAUUAUUGUAGGCUCCAUUUUGUCAACACCCACCUUCUUGGAUUCUUCCUGGAAAGAACAUGCAUCACCCAAUGUCCAUACCUACUCGUAUUCAUUUCGAAAAUUCAAAGGUUAUAGAGAAAUUGCUUAGAAACGUCCUUUAUUCUUCCCUGGAAUUUUCACCUGUUUUUUUCAAUCUUCACUCUCAUAUACUUAUUGUUUCUAGUUUCUUUCUGGCGUGUUGAGCGAUCAAUUUUCUGAUUUUGAACACUAAAUCCACAUAUAUUUUUCUUCUCAAACACUGUCAUGUUGUCAUUACCUUCAACUUCCUCAUACAUUUCUAGAAAGAAAUAUGAUGUUUUCUUGAGUUUUAGAGGUGAAGAUACUCGCAAAAACUUCACCGAUCAUCUCUAUGCUGCUCUAAAGAGGAGUGGGAUCGUCACUUUCAGGGAUGAUCCAAAGCUGGAGGCCGGCGAAGAGAUCGCGCCAGAACUCUUCAAAGCAAUUCAGCAAUCAUGGUGCUCGGUAAUCGUUUUUUCACAAACUUAUGCCUUUUCAAGUUGGUGCUUGGAGGAGCUUGCUGAGAUUGUUCAACAAACAACGACGGCCAUAAAGUGUUUCCAAUUUUUUACGAUGUUGAUCCAUCUGAUUUAAGAAAACAAAAAGGGAAAGUGGAAGAAGCCUUUGCCAGACAUGAAGAGAGAUACAAAGCAGAAAGUGAGAAGAUCCAAAGGUGGCGAAAUGCUUUAAUUCGAGUGGCUGCAGUCAAGGGAUGGCAUUUAAAUAACAGGUAAUUCUUUCUUUUCUUCUCUAUUUUCUAGUUUUUUGGAUAUGUAUACUUUUUUCUUUUUUUCUAAUCCUAUGUGUUUAAUUGAAAAGUGUUUCAAUAAGAGAGAAAAUUUUGUCUUCUGGCUCCGCAACAGAUCUUGCUUUCUUAUUCUUGGUUCUUGUUUUCUUCCAAACUAUUUUAUGUUUCAUGAUUCAUUGAAAAAGAAAGUGCAUUCGAAACAUAUCACUGAAAACAUUAAAAUUUCUUCUUUUUAGGCAUGAAUCUGAAUUUAUUGGAGACAUUGUUAAGAAGAUAUCAGCAAAACUAUGUCGGACAUAUCCAGUUACUCAUAGCGACUUGGUUGGUAUUAGUGAACGCUUGGAGGAUUUGUAUUUGAAAAUAAACAUUGGGGAAGAUGAUGUCCGCGUUAUAGGAAUUUGCGGAAUGGGUGGCAUCGGUAAAACGACACUCGCAAGAGUUGCUUACACUCAAAUGUCACCUCAUUUUGAAGGUAAAAGUUUUAUUGCUGAUAUUCGAGAAGUUUCAGACAAAUGCGGACUAGUUUCUUUACAGAAACAACUUCUUUCACAGAUCUUUCAUGGUGAAUGCUUCAACUUUUUCGAUGUUCAUGAAGGGAGUGACAUAAUUAGCCAUAGGUUGUCUCACAAAAAGGUUCUUGUUGUUCUUGAUAAUGUUGAUAACAUACAACACUUAAAAUGCUUGGUUGGAAGGCACGAUUGGUUCGGAUUAGGAAGUAGAAUCGUUGUAACAACAAGAGAAGAACAUUUGCUUCGAUCUUGGCCAGUUGAUGAUAUGUAUGAGCCCACAACAUUAAAUCCCAAAGAUGCGCUUCAACUUUUCAGUCUGAAAGCUUUUCAUAGUGAUACAGUGCAGAAAGAUGAUUUUAUUGAGCUUUCUAAACAUGUUGUAAAUUAUGCUGGUGGACUCCCUUUAGCUCUUGAAGUUUUUGGUUCCUUUUUGUGCGGUAGAGAUGCGACUCAAUGGAGAAGUGCGAUUGAAAGACUUAAAAGAGAUUCUAAUAAAGAAAUUCUCGAUAAACUUCGAAUCAGUUUCGAUGGACUGGAAGAAAGGGAGAAGAAUAUAUUUUUAGAUAUAGCAUGCUUCUUCAAUGGGGAGGAGAAAAAUUUUGUGAUUAAAGUAUUAGAUGGUUGUGAGUUUUUUCCUGAUAUCGGAAUUGAUGUUCUCGUUAAAAAAUCUCUCCUAAAAGUCGAUGAACACAACAAAUAUUUGAAGAUGCAUGACUUGUUGCAAAAAAUGGGAAGAACAAUUGUUAAAGAAAAAUGUGUUGAUGAACCUGAAAAACGUUGCAGAUUGUGGGAGGAAAGGGACGUCCAUCAUGUCCUAACAAAAAACACUGUAAGUCAUUCAACAAAAGUUACAUACUAUUUCUUUUUUAUCCUACAUUAUUCACUAUUUAUUUUAUUUUCUUAUUGUCUAUUCUUGAUUUUUUUAGGCUACAAAAAUGAUUGAAGGCAUAAUCAUCGAUAAUAAAAGGUAAGAAGACACACAUAAACUUAUAUGUGUAUAUUAAAAAAAAAUUAAAAAUUAUUUUUUUCAUGUAUUUAAAAGGUUCUUAAAGGAUCAUAUCUUCAUACCCAUAUACGAAUGUGCAUUAGAUAUAAGUAUUGGAUACGAGUACUUAAAAAACAAUAUCAAUGCAACAUUUCUUUUAGAUAUUGAAUGUUUUUAUAUAUUUUGAAGCUCAUUUUUGUUUUGCUCAUGGAUAUUAGGGAAUCGAUCAAGAUGCUCAAUUUGAGUGUGGAUACCUUCUUGAAGAUGAAAAAACUGAGAUUGCUCAAAGUGCUUUGCCUUUCAAAUUGUAAUGAUCUCAAAUAUCUUUCUAAUGAACUACGACUUUUAGAUUGGACAGGAUACCCUUUAAGAUACUUGCCUUCAAGCUUUCAACCGGACAACCUUGUCGCACUUCUUUUACCAUAUAGUCACAUUCAACAACUAUGGAAGGGAAAUAGAGUAAGAAUUAACUCAUCUUAUCCUUGUGUUUUAGCUUAUUUUAAUAAAAAUUAUUAAACUUUGAUUAAGGUAAAACAGAAAAAAAAAAAAAUUGAGCAUUAUUAUGUUUUCUCAUUUGUUUCUAAUUUAUUAUGGUCUUCAACAGCCCUUGUUUAACUUGAAAAUAAUGAACCUCAGAGGGUCUCAAAACCUGAUCAAGACACCAAACUUCACAACCGCAUCAAAUCUUGAAGUUUUGAUUUUGGAAGGUUGUACCAAAUUAGUGGACGUUCAUCCAUCAAUCCAGGUGCUUAAGAGCCUUAAACUUUUGAAUUUAAGAGAUUGCAAAAGUCUUGGGACUCUUCCAACCAAAAUUGGAAUGGAAUCUCUUGAAACAUUAAUUCUUUCGGGUUGCUCAAGUCUUGUAAGGUAUCCGGAGAUUGAUGGGAAAAUGGAACGUCUAAAAACUCUAGAUCUUUCCGGUUGUUAUAGAGUGGAAAAUUUGCCGGAGAAUUUACAGCAAGCAAAGUUUUUGGAAGAGCUCGACUUGAGUGAAACAGCCAUAACAGAACCACCAUCCUUCAUUUUUCAAUUUAAAAAUCUUAAAGUUCUGUCUUUCAAUGGGCGCAAGGGACCAUCAUAUAAGUUACUACCAAAUUUGCCUUCUCUUUUCAAGGUGGAAGAAUGACGAAUCCCAUGGCUCGGAUGUUGCCCUUGUUGUCAGGUUUGAGUUCUUUAAGACAGCUAAAACUAAGGGACUGCAAUCUUUGUGGAGGAGAUCUUCCACGUGAUAUUUCUGGUCUAUCCUGUUUGAAAGAACUUGAUCUUAGUGNNNNNNNNNNNNNNNNNNNNNNNNNNNNNNNNNNNNNNNNNNNNNNNNNNNNNNNNNNNNNNNNNNNNNNNNNNNNNNNNNNNNNNNNNNNNNNNNNNNNCUACUCUCGAAGCUUGCAAAUCUUAAAUUGUCAAAUUGCAACAUGUGCACUGUUGGUGAAGCAGAUAGUCAUAGUGAUAUUUCUUGUUUAUCAUCUUUGAGAAGUCUUAAUCUUAGUGGUAACAAUUUCAUCACCAUUCCUUUGGCUCUUACUCAACAUUCCGGGCUGCAACGGCUUGUAUUGUCAGACUGCAAGAUGCUUAAAUUGUUGCCUGCGCUAUCAACAAAUAAACGAGUGCGGAUAGAUGGUUGUUCUUCACUUGAAGUAGUUGCAAGUCCAUCAAAAGUAUGCAAUUUAGUGGGUUGUGACAUUACUGCCAUUAACUGCUUCAAAUUGGCUGAGAAAAUCAAUGCAUUAACACUGCUGAAAGAACAUAUUAAGGUCUAUUAAUCUAUUUUUUCUCCCUUACAAAAUCUCAUACUUCAGAAUUUAUGGUUUUAGUUACCAGACGACUUGUGUUUUAUUUUGCAGGCGGUUCGAUAUCCAAGAGAUUGUUUUCAUGGUGGCAUCGUUGAUAUUAUGAUGCCCGGAAGUGAAAUUCCAGAAUGGUUUAGCCAACAAAAAAGUGAUUUUUCAAUUAAGAUACCCCUACCUAUCAACCUUUGGAAAGAUAGUCAAUGGAUUGGAGUUGCUUGUUGCUGCAUUUUUGUCAAUAAUGAUGCUUCAAGGAACGAGUGUAUCCACUGUGAUGGAUCUAUUUUUCGAGGUAAAAAUUGUCGACCAAUCUGUCAGAGAAACCGGUGGGUAGGUCAACGCUUUGACAAGCCCAUAAUGAAAGAUCAC
rnacentral:lncRNA from 1 species